CAGGAAGUGCUCCGGUUUGGCUCGGAAGAUGGCAGCAGGUAAGUGUGUGCGUGCGUGUGUGUGUGUGGCGUGUUGUAGUUGAGUGUGCGUCCUCAAACGCCUCCAGAGCAGAGAAAUAAGUCCAGGUUAAAAAGGAAACGGUUGGUAGGAGUGCAGGACUGUGGGACACAGGUGCGGGGAAACAGUUAAACAGUUUAAAGGAGCCUCGCUCCGCCGGGAACGAGUGCGCACUCCCGGCACGGGCACACUCAGGCCGCGAGAGAGAGCCCCGCGCCAGUCGGGAAUGACGGGGCGUUUAUGGCGCCAGAGGCAAAGGGCGCAAAAGAUUGUGUCUGUGCCAGAAAUAGGUGACUGACAAGUAAAUUUAGACAUGUAGAAAAUUCAGAAUCUACAUUUUAACUGCAGCUUAUUGAUUUAACUCAGUCUGUAGAAAUAUUGACCACAUUUUUUGAAUUCAAAACUCUUUCUGAAUUAUUUUUUUGAUACAUUAUGCAAUCCCUGUACAUCGAACAGUUACAGAAGAUAGCUUUCUCUAUUCUCAAUGACGACUCCCACCCUUUACACAGCGAGUUCCAGCUUCUUUCCUCUGGAUGGAGGUUUCUAGUCCCCAAAUGCAGAACCAAACGUUACAGAAACAGCUUUGUUCCUGCUGCUAUUAUUGAAGUGAACAAGAUGUAGAGAUUUUUUUUUUGCACAAUAAGUACAUACUGCGGAGGUAUUAUUUACUUACUUAUUUAUGUUGGUUUUAAACUUGUUUUUACCUUGGUUCGUAUCCAGAGGUUGUUUAUUCGCAUUUCUUUAUGUAUUGACGUUUUUCUCCCUCUCUUGUGUCCUGACUGGGGAGCCUUGGGGUGCUUUUAUCAUGUGUUCUGUUUUAUGGUUGUUUUAUAUUUGUACUGUACCUUGUAUAAAUGGACGUCAUCACUUUAUUUCACUGCAGAACAAAUCUACCUUUGUGUAUUAAUAAAGUAACCUGAACCUAAUGUCCAUAACUUAAUGUACAAGUUGUACUGGGUGGUGGUUGUGUACUGGAUAGCAUUAUAAUGAACGAUGUAUGUUUCUUAUUAUUGUCAGCUUCAGUAAAAAACCUGCAGGGAGCUAAAUAUGAGCUCACACAGGUGCCUUUCACAACAAUCCACAUCAUGCAGGGACUGAACAGAUCUGAGAUAAGAACACAACAGCAUGGUGCACUUUGUUGAAGAACAUAUUGGAAAUGCUGAAGAUGCUUAUCGGUGUUUUCCAAGUGAUAGCCGGCACAGCCAGUGUUACUCUAUUGUGAAUUACCAUUAUUACAGGGGACAGGCGAUGCAGUCACAGUUUAGUGGUCUUUUUACCAGCCACUUGGGAGUAAAUGGAUGUACAUAAUAAGUAUGUGUGCGGAGUGUGUGUGACGUGUUUGGCCACAAGUCCUCUCAAAACACAGCUCAAGAAGGUUUCAACGACCAGAUUUCAUUUACACUUAGCUUUUCUGAGGUAGCGACCCAGCCAAGAGGUUUCAGAUGACCAAGGGCAAUUGAGUUAAACAGCGUGUAUCCUGACCUGACUGUUAGGGCAAAGAUGCAGCUGAUGUCAAUCCAUGAUUUCAAGGAUGGUUUCUCUCUAUUAUAACUAUGAUUUGAAGCUAAAUAUGGGUGACCAUAUGUCCUCUUUUACCUGGACGUGUGCUCUUUUGGGGGGGCUGUCCAGAGAGUUGUUAAAUGUCCAGGGUUUUGUAUGGAAGUUCUGAGUUUGUGUAGCGUGGACUAACUGAGUUAAAAGCAUGUAAAAUACACUUGGCCUGACCCGCCCUGUGUAGUAGUGUCUUCUUUUGGGGGAUUUAGAAUAUGGUCACCCUAAACUAUGAUCAUUUUGAGCCAGAAAAUAGAGUUAAAUUCCGAAAUGCAACCAAACUUUAACAAUAUUCAGUGGUCAGUCAGUGAUAAGAAUGAAUGGUCCUCUGGACGGAGGCAGCCUCUUUAAAAAUAUUUUUUAAUGAUGAUGUUUUUGUCUGUCUUUUCCAAGUGAAUACACACGAGGAUCAGAGUUGUGCCAAUUUACUUAUCUCUGGUUGUUAGUGAUGCACCCGACGCCAAAUUGUGACAAAGAUGCAUGAAAUGAAGCUUGUGCCCCCGACUUGCUCGUCCUUAACAAACAACAAAAAGUCAACAGGAGUAGAUUUACUGAAAUAAAUGAAUUUCUGAUCAGAUAUACCACAGGGUCUUGCACUUUAUGGACUUAAGCGAUUGCUGGCAAUAUAAUCCAACAACGUGUCUUUAAUUUGGCUGAUGGGCAGCAGAACAAUGGCUGACCCUUCUGGUGUUGAAACACCACCUUAGGGCAUAAAUUGAUUUUCAGCAGGUUGACAGAUGUACCCUCACUUGAUUAAAGGUUGUAUGGUUGUGUCUUUAUCCUGCAUGUGGCUCUGUUAACCCCAUGAAAUUGAUUAAGUAAGAUUUCGAGGCUUUCAGAAGUGAAACCCACUGCUCCUGCCUGUGCAAAAUGGGAGAUGUUGUGAUUAUUUUCUUUAUUCAAGCACAAUAUUUUAGCUUUCUUUUGUACUUUGUUAUUUUGGCCCUAAAAAUGUUGAAACUGAUAAUAUAAUAUGCUUUAAAAAACAAUGUUUUAUUCAGUACUGUCAUGGGCAAACUCUUCUCGAAAAGAAGACAAAGGUCAAAGUCAAUGGAAAUGUCGAUCAUUGACAUCUACGUCUUUCUCUCUCUAUUUUUUAGCUGACAAAGAAUCCUGAGGCCUUAAACAAUACGUUGCAGCUCAAAUAGCGAGAGUAACGCACAUGGCUGUUGAUACUGCAUCCUUGAUAAUGGUGACAGGAGGAACCUUGUCAAGGAUGAACCAGGCUCAUGGGCUUCUUGUUGUCAGAGAGGUGGAGCUCAGGAGUAUUUCCGUUGAUGGUUAAAUCACCCUUGUUUACUGUUUGGUUUCCCAAGCAGCACUUAAAGGGAUGGUAUGACAGGAGAAGAGGGAAUAUCUCUGAUGUUUACAGGUUCGAUUUUAGGCCUAGUGUUGGUAGGUGAGGAUUGGACAUUUGUGAGGAUAUUUCAGCUGUUAAAAGUCGAUCUAUGACAUAAUUAAGUAAAGGUCUGAAUUGGAAGUAAAAACCUUUCAUAAGGGCCUCUAAGGAGGAGAUGAAUUUUCUACAACUUUAGAAAAACUAAAAUGUUAAGAAUCUGAGUUUUAACUGAAAACAUGUCCUUGAAUCAGUGAACAUGAUUAUCAUUCUGCUGAUUCUUAACUGUAAAACCACUUUCUGCUAAAGUAAACUAUCUUCAUUUUACUGUUUAAAAAUGAUGGUCAUUAUAAAGUGUUCCUGAUUAUUUUUAUAUAUAUACAUUUUCAAAUCCUGUCUGAUUUUACAUGCUGAAAACACGCUUGAACAAAAUAGAGCUGAGAGGAUUAAGGCAUUUGAUUAAUGUAGCUGCUAUAUAAUGACUAAAAUACAGUGCAUAGUGCAAACAAAUCAGUGUAGGAGGAACUUGGAGAAACACGCAACUAAGCUCUUGAUGUAUAGUGAGUGGGAUGUGUUAAUAAACCAAAGAACUGUAUGUGGGACUGCUUAGUUUGUUCCCAAAUGUAAAGAAAAAGCAGGGUUACCGUCGAGACUUCAGAGCAGAAAAUGGCAGCAGGGAAGCUUUGCUCACCGAGGAGCCGGCUGAAAACAAGAGAAAGUGGGUGUGAUAUUUUUGUUUUACUAUGGUACAACUUCUCUUUUAGUGCAAUCAAAACCGGCAAACCAGACUUACAACUUGGACACUUUUUCACACAGUUUUUGUACUCCACAGAGUGCUGUUGCAGAGAUUGGGACUUAUUGACACAUGCUUGAAAGCCUUUCCAUUGUGCACAUGGGUGGCAUGAAGACAGACGAGGGGAGGAAUCAAAAAAGGGCUAAAGGCUAAAAGGAGGGAGAGGGGAAAUAGUGAGAAAAGCCACUCAAUAUUGUAUGAGCCAUAUCUCUUUUUUUCUUGUUUUGCCUUGUGCAGUACUUCAGUUGAAAGGAGUUUUGUUUGAGUAACAUAAAGCUGUUACUCUAAAAGCUGAAUAUAACUCUUGUCUGUGGCGAAGUGACAUAGACCAGACUCUCGUAGCUCUGGAGUCCUUCACAAAUAUGACAGCUUUUCAAAAUUGCAGUUAAAAAUGAAGUUACUCUUGAAUUUUAAUUAUAGCUCCCACAAAAACAGGUCAUUAAAGAUGAAUCUCACAAGUUAGGUAAAGGGAAUCAGCAGCUCUCUCUGGUUGAACAUCUAUCACCAAUCAAUCACAGUAAGCAGUCCUGGACUAAUUUUAUGGUUGCGAUUGUUCUCCAUAACAAAUCUCAGGUCAGUAAACAUCCUCCACAGCUGUCACAGGGAUGAAUAGACGCCCGUAAUGAGAGCACAAACACUCAUGGAUCAGCAGGCACUAAUGGCUGUUAUUAUUUUUAUUUAAGUGAUUGUUUCAGCAGGCUGCGUUAAGUACUAAUUGACACACACUUUUGGAGUUCAGGGAAUCUGAUUCGAUUGGUGUGGCUCAAAGUCACGAGCAAGACGAUGUUUUGAGUUUCCUGUCUAGAGUUGCACCAUUUUGUAACAUUAACAAUUUCACCAGAAAAUCACCUUCAUCAGGAAAAAUAAAUAAAUAAAUAAAACAGCAAUUUUUUUGGUUUGUUUUCUGUCAUUUUUUAUUAGAGCUUCAUAUUUUAGCUGUUUUAAUUACUGUCUCUAAUUUGUUUCUUUGUUUAAUUCAAGGUCUGCUACAAUAAACAGAAGGGAAAUUAAAAGACAAAAGCAGUAUUUUCAUGUAAAUUAGUAUAAAAAGACAGAAAAAUAAAUGAAUAAAUAAAAAACAAAAGAACCCCCCUAAUGUCCUCCUCAGUACCCAACUGCUGGAAAUUACUGAUGAAUCCAUUGUUUCAGACAGCGGUAAACACUUCCCACCAAUUUUGUCUCCUGCUUUGGUACUAAUUUGUAACAGCAAAUAUUUAGUCAGAGGAAUAUAUAACAUUGCUGCCUUUAUAACAGAGUUUAUUUACAUAGUCAGGACUCCCAUUUGAGUGAAAUCCAGGAUUUAAAUCCCAGAUUAUACUGCACAUGCUGCUCUGGAAUCAGGUCCAGACCUCCGACCUCUACUCUAUGUUUUGCAUGUGGUAGAAAUAUAUGAAGUUUAUUCACCAUUUUUUUUCUGCCAGUUAAAAAUGAAUGAUAAAAUAAGACUAAGCAUAGAUGAAAAAAUGCUCCCUUUAGUAUGAGACUUGAAAUUAUGAUUAUGAUUGCUACAUUUAAGAGAGAGGCAUAUUUAUGCAUUUGUUAUGUAACCCACUUUAGGUAGCAUCUGCAAAAUUAAGAGCAUCUAAAAACUGUACCACAACUCUUCUUAAGUCAACAUUAUAAUAAAAUAUUACAGUGAUGAGAAAGUCAUAUCCAUGGGGAAGGUUUGUUGCAACAAGCUAGUCAAAUUUAUGAGAUAAAAACUUAAAAUUUUAUUCAUUAAAGUCUGAAUAAAAUGUUAUAAUCAUGAAUUUUUUUAUCUCAUUGUCACAUUUAAUCAUUUUUUCAUCAUAAUUUCUCACAUCACUUUACAUGACUUGACCAUACUUGCAUAAAGGGAUAUUUCAGUAUUUUUAUAGUGAGGUUGUAUGAGUUACUUGCCACUGAGUAAGUGUACUUGCACAAAGGAUGCUGGUCAAAUCUUCCCCUUUUAUUUUUGGCAUGGUGCAUCUGUUUUUGCUUUAUUUACUCAACAGUAACAUUCUUGCAGAAGUCAGUUUUCCUUUUUUAAUUCCACCUUCAUUGGAAAAACAUGCAAACCUCCCAGCUCAUGUUUAGAGUUGUUGCCACUGUAUAUAUAAUUCUUCUCAUAUGGGUGCAAACUUCACCACUGGGCUAACUCAGUUAAAAGAAGAUGAAAUUACAGUUUAUAAAAAUAGAUGAAUGAAAGUACUGAUAGAGCUCUCAAGAGAGUAAGAUUCAAAACAGCAAGGGAAAUGAACAAUUAUUUGAACAACCAAUACCCAUAAUUUCAUGAACUGACAUGUACCCAGAGUCCAGACAACAGCCUGGAGAUUCUUCAGCCUCUGUCCCCCCCUGUCAGCCAAAUCCCCCCUGGGGUGACGCUUCCCUCUGGAGCUCACUCGCAGUCAGCUGGAGACGAAACAAGCUGAAAUCAGACACCAAAUCCGCCGAGGGAUUCAGGGAGUCUGGGGAUGUCAGAGUUUUCUUUACUUAUCUGGAAACAGGAACAGAAGCCAGCGUCAACCUCUGGUGGCCGGAUUUUUCUGAGUCUGGACGUCAGUGGAUGACAUUUCAUUUAACUUUUCCUGUUUUCAGAAAAGUUUGAAUGGACAGUGGGAUUUUAAUUACUACACUAAAAGCAUUUCAAGGUUUCCAAAAAAAAAGUGGUGCAGGCUUCCUGUUGAAAGAAGAAGUGGUCUUGCUUGAGGUCAAUAUCAGACAGCUUCAGAAUAUUUUUUCCUGUUAUGGAAGCUCUCAGCAUUGACGGGUUUUUUUUUUUUCUUUAUGAUAAAUUAUCGUAGAUUUUCUGUCAUCUAUAGUGUGGCAGGUAAAAACUGUAAUAAUCAACAGGAUGUUACCACUCUGAUAUUUAGUCAUCCAGUCAUGUUAGAAAACUCCCUUUUAAUUAACACUGCAAAAGCCCAAUAAUGUAACAGUUCAUUAAGGAGCUUAUCUCAUUCACUACUUAUCAAAGCAAUUAACACAGGGGGGAUUUUCUAAUUGAAGCUUAAUUCAAUUACUUCAUUACCGAUACUCAUGGACAACAUGAUAGUGGGAGAGGAGGUGUCAAGGUGUGAGUGUGGGAAAAACAGAUAAAGCCAAAUUUCAUAAAAAUACAAGGAGGACAUUGACUCCCAACAACUCCUGCUAUGUUUCCCGCAGGAUGUGAAAUUAGUCUGUUAGUGCAAUAAAACCAAAGAGGGUCUGUUUGGUUGAAGAGGGCCUUUCUUUAUAGAUGGUAGAUUUACAGCGCGCUAAGAGGAUGAGGUCAUUUUAAUUCUGUGAAAUGGUGGACGUUCUCUCUCUGAAAUAAAUGACUUUCCUGAGAGGACAGGUGGGAGUCAUAACAGGAUGUAGACACAGUAAUAAAGCAUACUUAUAGGAAAUUGUUCCAUUUCAUAACAAUGCCAUCCAGCCUCUUGUGAAUAGAUCUGAAGUGAGGGGAUUGAAGGCCAGGAUUUUCAGCCGGAGCUUAGCAGAUGAGCAAGCUUAAUGAAAGUAAUAACUGUGCCAGUUAAAGGUCCGCUGAAAAUGGCCAAUAUCCAGUGGAGUUAGUCAUUUCAUUUGCUCCUGCCAAAAAAGCCUCUAUUUUAGUGGGAAUAUGGAGUGGUAUAGAAGGAGCUGUCGUGACUCUGUCAUCUGAAUGAGGCUCUGCAGAGAAUAACCUUAGGGAUGAAAUAUUUAGCUGCAGAAGAUUUUAGCUCCCACAUGCAGACAUUUCUGCUUUUUAUCCCAACCACCAUCACGUAAACACACUCUUUCAUCACCUGCUCUUGCAAAUCUUGAUAAAGACAGAUUUUCAUUUAACCAGUCUUUAAAUUGGUUCACCUGUAGGCCUCUGCUCAUCAGAUGAGGUUCAAUACAGCACUGACCUGUCCUGACCUGAUGAGGCGUGGGAUCUGCAGAGGUAGAGCCAGGGGGUUUCAAGGGGUGACCGUGGUCAUCCCUGAAAACUGAUCGGCCACCUAAAUUCCCUGCAAUUCCAAACCAUGAUUGUCAGAGGCAGCAUUUCUAAUGAAAAGAGCUAAAUGGGUUAUAUCUGAGUGUGCUGUUUGCAACGAUUUUGUCAACUAGAAUUAAUAAAACAACAAAAACUAGAAUGUCAACAUUCAGGAAAAAGUUUGCCAACGUAAAUGUAUUUUAUUUUUACAAUACUAACUAAAAUGAUAUAAAGUUACAGAAAGGAUGUCAGCAGUUUUCAUCUUUGACACCAGCCCUCUUUCUGGCAAACAUUCUUCAUCUCUCAGUGACAGAAAUUCAAUUUCGGCCGUAACUCUUCACCGCAGAAGUCAGAACCUUUGUCUUUAUCAUUCUGUGUUAAAGAACUUGCUUCAGAUUUUUCUCCAAAUGUCUAUUUACCUGCACUAAAACAGUUUUUGAUCACUUGCCAAGUAUCAACACUCUCAAGUGAAAGGUUGUUGCUCUUUAAAGAAAACAUCAUCUUCAUUUUUACUGGCAAAGAAAUAGACAUUUUUUAAUCUCUAUAACUCUGUUUAGGAAAAUCCUCUUUCAUUUGAUCUUGGUGGGUUUGUUUAUGAAGCUGUCUUUUACCUGAGUCCCCCCUGUUAUCCUAUCAUUAGACCCUUAGUCUGCAUGGAUCUAUCAUCUACAACACAGUGAGAUUCACCCUAAUGAACAGAGGCAUGUCCAGAUUUUUUUUUCACUGUGAUGACCCGGGACAAGGGCAUAGAUUUAUGAUGAGGCAAGAGUAUGUCAGACCACACACCAACAACUAUUGUUGCAUUUAUGUUGAAACAUCAUUCUUGUUGUGAAUUUUAAAGAAAGGUCUAGAAAAAUUUACAAACUCAGAAAGCUGGUUCAGAGCUACGUCCUGAAUUUGACAGAACAGAGAGUCAAUAAUACUGUAUUUUAAUAGGCGGCACUAGGGCACGGAGAUACGGGAAAAAGUUUAUCGCGCUAUAUUUUUUUCAUAUCAGUCAAUAUUGAUAUCAGGAUGUAAAAAAAGAAAUUUAACAGUGCUUGUUGGUAGCAUGUCUUUUGCAUACUGACAUGUUUUGUCUUGAUAUUGAGGGAAAUUAAUUUUCGAGAUUUAUCGUUAUCGUUUUAUCGCCCAGCCCUAGGUGGCACUCUGGCCAAUCAGGGAGGACCUGUGCCACCCCAAGCCUGCCCCUGCAAGAGCUCAUCACUUUUGUAAAAACAACUUGUAAUAAGUACCAGCCUCCAUAAGAGGAGAACAACUUUCUCUCUUUCAUGAACUCAACAAAGUUGACGAAGUUUACUUAAGUCUUAGUAUUUUCCGUUUGCUCUCUACAUUCUUCAAGAUUUCUUAAACACAGACACUGAGAGAAGGGCAGCAAAAACAUCCAUUUAUCAAAUGAGAGUCCAAGGAUGCUGUUUACCCCUGAUACAACUCAACAAGUAAGACUGGUGUAAACAAACUGUGGAACAUGGUCUUUACUGCCGACGAGAAAAAUCAUCAGGGGAAAGAAAAAUAAGUCCCCAAACAGAACUAAUAUCUAUAACCAGAUAAACGUGGACUUCAAUUUGAGAGAACAGAAAUAUGUAUUUGAAAUAUCCUUGAAGUAAACGAACGAUAGGACUGAUCUUUAUACUCAGGGAUGUUGGAUAAAAAGGUUUGUUUUACCGAUACUCUUUAGUGGAAAGGUUCAUAUCAUUUAUGGCGAGAAGUCAAGAGCUGUACUGAUAACCUUGACCACCGACAGAUGAGAUAUUUUUUUAAAAGCUGCACUUGUCCUAGCAGCAGUAUAAUUACCAUCUUGCAAAUCUCAUCAAAUGUUACUAAUCUCCUCGUUGCAGGCGGUGAACUCCCACAGAGCUGUUCUGCAUGUUGAAGAAGUCCAGCAGGCCAGAGGAAAACACAGUUUAGAAAGGCCAAAUGAUGAACCCUUCUGAUCAUUUUAAAAGUUGUGGAAAGGUGUUUACUUAUACUGCCAGUUUAAUGAGCGCUUGGCAUGGAUUCAUGUGAGGGUAGUGGAUGUAGUUUGAGCUGGAGGAACUCAUCCCUUCCAGCACUGCUGGCAUAAUCUUGCUCCCGAGGGGUUUGGAAAUGCUUACUCUGUCUUGAGAAUAACACCAGCACAGUGGCCAAACCUGUAGGUUGGACAGGACUUGGACAGUGUGCAAGAAUGGCUUUUCUGUAUUUUACAUCCUCAGUCCAAUACAACUCCUUGUCAGAGGCAUAAAUAUAGUAAAAUACUUUAUGUUUUGUUGCAGUCGAUAUGCACCAUUUUACAUUUUAUAUUCUUAAAUAUUCUCAGAGUUCGUUAAAAGGACUUGACACCAAUCGAUUUGCAGUCGUGUCAUUAUCUGCAUUAAACUUGUAAUUGUGUGUGGGUGUUUUAAGAACACAGAGCAUAUACUCUGUUUACCAUGCACUAUGAGGCUUGCAGUUUACCAGUUGCUUUUCCUUAAUUCUAAGACCAGAUGCCAUGAUUUUUAUUUCGAUAAAUUAAGUAUACAUUUAAAGGGUGUCUGAAAUCCACCUUAAAUAGAUCACAUGUCCUUUUUUUCUCAAGUCGGUAUGUUUAUAUAUAUAUUAUAUAUAAACUAAAAAAUUGAUUUAUCAAAAUAUUCUGAUUAAAACUAGACAAUUAAAAUACAUGUAAACACAUUGAUCUAACUUCUUAUAGUCCAACAAACAGCCUGAGGUUUUUGUCAGCAUUUUACAAACAAAGUGGGUGGGGCCUAUUUUUUUGAAAAUGUAUUUUAACCCCUAAUACCAUAAAAUACACAUUUAAAGAACUAUUUUAAAAAAGGCAUCAAACAAUAAUAUAGAAAGCCCAAAUUAAACACGUUUACAAGAAAAACUACAUAUAUUACCACCAUCAUGUUAUACUCACGAUCAGUUUAGGUUUUCUUUGAUUACUUUCUGGUGCCGAUUUUGUUGAGUUGUUGGACAUUUUUUUAAUGUUUUUUCAUAGUUUCUCAACUGGCAGGAGUUUGAGAAGAGGCUCUUUGUUGGUGAACCUGUGCAAGUUUGUUUCCAAAUACUAAUAAUUACCUUUAUUUUAUACUUGCUGGUGUCUUAAAGCUUAAAGCUUUCCCCUUGAGUUAGCAGCCAUAACUUUGAGAAGUUGAACAUGUGAGAUCUUUGUCAUUAGCUGGACUAAAAUAGGGCCAACAUGUACUUUUACAUAAGCCGACUUGCAAACCCCCUGGAGCAAAGUGCUUCUGAUCCUUGAAGGCAACCUUUGAGGCAAUUUUUCAUAGGUGACACAACACAGUGCGGCUGGAGCUCAGGUACAACUUUAUGACAAGAAAAAAAAGGAACCAUCAACAGCACUACUCUUUUUGAGUCUGAACUUUUAUCUCUUGACUUUUUCUUUGCGAGACAAUAAACGUGUUUAUUUUGCUUUAGGGGUUUCUUUAUCAUCCUCAUGUUUUGUUCGAUGAUAUCAACUCAAAAACACAGAUGGGAGGGUGCGCUGUGCUCGAGAAAGGCUCAAUAAUUCAUGAUUUGUCUCCCUGGUGCUUUCAGUGAUGAAUUGUAGCCGUAACCAAGAGAACAGAGAAGAGAAGUUGUCUCCAGAUGAGCAUAUAUUUCUCUUCAAUUCUUAAGCAUGAAUAAUAGAUAAUGACCUUUUCUAUAUACUUGCUCUGAGCCACAGGUGUCCAACUAUAACAGAAUUAUUCUCUGAAUUUGGCAGCAAACACAUAAAGAAGUUCGUCUACACGGAUAAAUAAUCCUCUUUUUGUACUGAAAUCUAAUGGUGCUGCACACUCGUGAAUUAACAAUAUGCACAAGAACCAAGCAGAAACAUCUAUGUUAGCCUCGGAGUGGUGCGUAACCAGGUGGCAUUUUUGUAGCUUAAAAGUCAUUGCACACUGGCGAAUUAGCGCAGCAAAUUUGCAAAGUGAAUAACUCUUUUUAAAAAUCUUAAGUCAAUGCAAGCUUCCACACGAACUUCCACAGAACAAAAAAGCAACUAAUUUUUUCGCCCCAAAUUUUGCGAACAUUCGCAGGCGAACUGCUACAUAAAUCUAUAGACUAAUAUAAAUCUUACCUCAGACAUGUGGCAACAGUUGCUCUGGACCAAUCGGCUCUCUGUAAUUUGUCCUCUCUUUCUGCAAACAUGGAGUCAGCUGAUGGAGCAGUUCUUAAGAUUGUGCGAGGGACAUUCAGAAGUAUUGUUAGAAUAUCUCAGGAUACAAUUUAAGCUCCUGGAUCAUUGUGUGGACUCCUGUCAGUAUUUGAUGACACUUCGAUUCUUCUUUUUCUUAUUUCAUAGGCUUACAACCAUGACCAGGUCAUGAUCACUUGAGGAUGUAGUCACCAUUGUUUCUCCUUCUUCUCUCUCCCCCUGUUCUCUCGUGGCAUAUUUUCAUGUGAAUAUGCAAAUUUUAUUUGCUGCUGUUGCUUUGCUGGUUCAUCAGUGUAUAACGACCUUAACUCUGAGAAAAUGUUUUUACUCCUCAGCUCCUGACAGACAGAAUAGAUGCUUGACCAUGUACAUAUUUCAUCAGAUUAAUGAAAGACUGUACAUAAGGGCUGGAGUUGUACACUUUAUUUUUAGCAGGAUCACGGUUGUUGUUGUUCUUCCUUUUCUGAUGCAGUGUCAGAACAAUUUCCCAUCAUUUGAACAUGAUUGAUAUUUCCAAUAACGCCUGGAUUUGAUCACAAUCUAGUUCUGUUCACUGCUUGAUGUGCUCUUGUUUUGUCUGCAGCCACAUUCACUUAAUUGUUUGACUGAAACCAAACUUGGCGAGAAACCAACCGUUCCUUCGGUGCACAGACAUGGAGUUCAUUCUCAGAUAAAGCAUCCCCCAAAUAUACAGUGAACCGUGAACGGUCAGGGGCAGUGUGUCUCAGGGGGUGUUUCAGCUGGAAUCGAAAAAUACUUCUUCUGUUUCCUGAUCCAAACAAGUAGGUUCAUGUAACAGUGAGCAGAGAUAAAGAAUUAAUCGCAGCAUUUUCCUGGACGGUGAAGAUCAAAUCUCUUCAGCAGGGAGAACGUCUGACAUUAGGGAAUACAUGAAAAAUUCAUGAACUCCAUCUCUCUGCUGGACGCUUGGCAUUUUGUUGGCAAUUCAAUGCCCUUAAAAGUAAGAUUUAAGAUAGUUCACAGCUCUGUCAGGAAAGAAAUAUAGGAGUUUUAAACAGUAUUUUGGACAAGACAACACAGAUGGAUAAAAUAAAAGGGGGUUGUGUCGAAGAACUUCUGAACAUGAAAUUGUCCAUUUUUAAAGGUGGGGUUGGUAGGAUUUUGUUUAAGAUGUUUUUUUUUUUGUUUUUUUUUUUGUUAUUGAUUAUAUUUAGUAAUAUAACAAUAUCACUAUGUUUUGUUAUGUCUAUGUAGUUCACAUUUUAAAUUUUUAAGUGGCCUGCUCUUUCUGGCUGUAAACAAAGCCAUUCUCCGCCUCCCCCAACCUGAUUGGUUGUGAGGCUUCCUCAUGUUGUGAGGCACACUCCACGUCCUCCAAUAACUCCUAACCCAAACAAAGUUGGCGUGCUACAAUAUCGGACAGUAGAAACCAACCAGAAAGUAUGGAAACACAAGCAAUAAAACAAAGUUAAUACCUGAGAUUCUGGCGGAAUAACGGGCGCUUAAUACAGAGAUAGACCGGACAAGAGCUUAGAAGCCUAAACAUAAACGAUGGGGGAUGCUUCAGGAUCUUACGGACCCUGUAACCUUUCUGCAGGACAGGUAAAUUGCUUUAACAAAGUAAGCCAAGUGUCUGUAACAGAAGUGUUUCUUGUCAAACGGACCUGCUGUAGCGUGUUGUAGCGCCGCUAAACUGUUGACCUCGGGUCCUGGACUAUGUCACUUUAUCCUAGUUGUAGAAGUCCUGCAAACAUUGUGUUUGCUGGUCGUCUGUUGGCGUCUACAGUAGCACCAAUGCUUUUUACAUUCGCAUUGACUGGGCCCCAUUUGUAAUCAUUUAAAGUAUUUAUCUGCAUUUUAUCUGAAUGUUGUGGAAACCAUACGAGCGAGCGACAGCAUCUGUUUGUGGGCGGGGCUUGCUGGAGCAGAGAUGGAGGGGAGAGGAGGAGCUGAGGUGAAAACUGGUUGGGAGGGGUAGUGUUUACAUUCAAGAGUUCUCCUAAAAACCUGCACCUCCUCAGAUCCUGACUACCCCACCUUUAAUUAAGAGCUCUGCUGUUUUUUUAGACACAUAAGAGAGCUCUCAGCAACAAUCAUUUCCAAAAUAAAAGUCUUCCUAAUAUUUGUAGGAAGACUUUUAUUUUGUUUGUACCCCCUCCAUCCUUGUUUUUUUUUCAUUGUGAGGAGCUGUUGUUUAGACCACCUACCUCUUCGCUCACUUUCCUCCAGGCGACCCCUCCUUUAUUCCUGUCUCAAUAUUAAAAACAAGUUCUGUCAUAAAGCUUAGGUAGCCACGUGCCAUAGCAACCAGUUUGUCCUCUGUUUUCCAGAUGAGCCUCCGCCAGUCUGUUUUUGACAUAUGUCACCAGGGAACCUCCAGAUUGGUUAUAGCCGUGCAAAGAUCUACUUGAGUUCAGAUUUUCAACCUUCUCAAGUGUCUCACUCAAUUAGAGUCAAGAGCUCGAGUCUAAUAGACAGAUUACGCUGACUUUACAUGUAAUUCACUGAUGAAAAGUCACGUUGGUGCAAGAAUCUCAGAGGGAGAGAAACACAGAAAAAAAUGACGCCCAUCAGAAACUAAAACCAACCUUCAACAUGAUGAAUCCAGCCCAUGUUUAAUUCCAUUAUUUUCCCCCUGGAUAUGUUUAAUGUUAACAUGCUUCUCAUCCAAAUCAUGCACCAACACAAUUUGGAUGAAAGUAGCAACAGUGUGGUUUUCUGCUGCAGUCCUCUCAGUCUGAAAAUAACCAACAAAGAGGUCCAUUCAUUAAUUAUGUAUGCUGGCAUGUGGGGUCCUUUUGCAAAUGAGAUGCAGGCCUUUACUGUUUGCAUCCAUGAAAAGCUUUCACACGGCCUGUUUGAGUCAGAUGAAGACUAAUGAAGUACGAGUAAACUUGUGAACAUAUGCCUGCUGCUCUAGUGUGUGUGGGUAGUGCAUUAAUCUUGAGACUCUGGCGUAGUCAGGCUGAAAACUGCGCUGUUGUUUUGGGUAUUUGUUUUCUGCGGUUGUUUAAAAAAACUCCCACAUGAGUUUUUGAUUGAAAACAUCAGCUCCAUGUCAGGGGGAUAGUGUCUGAUUGAAGUGUGGGAAGCAAUCUGGAAAAAAAAAAAAACGCCACAUAAUAAACCUGUUGCUUGGUGUGUCUUUUCAAAGACGUCUUUGACCUGUACUUGGAUAAAAAGACAGAUUUAAUAGGUCUAUUUGUUUAAUAGGCAUUGUUCACUGAAAGCUGUUGUAUAACUCUUUGGCAACUGGUCAAAUGAAACUUUUUCUAAUUUAAUGCCAAGAGUGGUAGUCAGACUUAUGGCAUGUACACAUCACUGCAAACAUAUUCACCGACCCACACAGUAUCAAACUUAUUGAAGAUAUUGAUUUUUUUGAGAAAUAAUUUCCCAAGACAUUUCCAGCAUCAACAAGGGUGAGCGUGGGAUCGCCUUCAUUUUGUAUUUAAAGCGAAGAGGUCCUCCACUCACGGCCUUUUCAAGCAGCACUCAUCUUUUGUAUGCAGGUAACACUUACACUCGCCCUUGUGCCUGGUCUUGCUUGCGGGUGUAGCAAGUCAAGAGGAUAAAAAAGUGAGUCAAAGACGGUAAUCACAGUCUCGCCUGGAGGAGAAUAGCUGCUGUUUUCUCUCCCAGUGGUCAGUUCGGGUCAAAUGGCAACAACAUUUAAUGUACAAUAAGGAUAUACACUUACAUAGCAUAUAAAGAGGUGCUGAACUAAGAGCUUGUAAGAAUCCUUGUACACAGUCUCCUCUUUAGUUCAGGUAUUCGUCUUUUAUCCCCCUUUCAGAUAAAAUCCCCCAGUAGGAUAAAGAUGUGGCGGUGAAUGUGAUGGAUUUAAUUAGUCACCUUAUCUCAUUAAAACAAAGGAUUUUAAAGUGUUUCAAACAUGAGACGAAGAAAAUAAUUGUAUUCUGUCCUACGUUUACAAGUCUCCCGUUUAUUCAUUAAACACAGCCGUAGGCAGCAGAAGUGUGUUUUUCAUUUAUUUACUUAUUUUUUACACCAAGUGCUGCUUCACGUGGGUUUGUCCGUGAAUAUACUGUAGCUCUUGUACAGCUCUUAUAAUUUUGUGGGUUACAAAUUUGUAGAAUCAGAGAUGCCAGAUUCACUUAAGGAAAGUUCUGUCUCUAAUUUGACAAGCUGGUUUGAGAAGUUGUAGUUUUAAAUCUGGAUAGGCCUGGGUGAUUGUAUGAUCGUGAUAUAUUUCAGUUCAAUCACGGUGAUCAGCUGUGAGCAUAUUUACUUGAUCAAACAGAGCGGAAAUGUGCGGGAAAAUAGCCAAUCAGAGUCGAGCUUUUCCUGCUCACUUCUCUAAGUUGCCAGAGAAGAAAACAGGGGAAUAAACAGAAUGACUGAACAUGGCUCUAAUCGUGGAGCUGAGGGCAGCAAAAUAGAUGUCAGCCAAUAAUUUGAGUCAUCCUCUGAGGAGAAGAAAAGUUAUUCAACGACGGUUGAGUGGCGGUGGUUUGGGUAUCUCCAAAGUGACAUUGAGCAGUGAAGCCAAUGUGCAAGGUAUGUUGGUGGUCAGUGCCCUCAAAAACUGGCAACACAACAGAUCUGUUUAAUCAUCAGAAGAAGUAAUUAUGCAGAAAGCAUGAAAAUACGAGCGAAGUCUGCACAGCCUGCAACUGCUGAAGGCACAAGUAGCAGUAGCAGUUUAGCCACAACUAGGACUGCCAACUAGUUCACUAUAUAUUUUAGUAUUUAACCACAUUUGUUGUACCGUUGAGUUAAAAUGUUUUUUAUAUUUUUCUAAGUUUAUCUUAUUCAGUUUUCUUCGUUAUUUACUUUGUGUGGUAAUAAUAUGUUGAACUAAUCUCUGAUUUCUUUAGUUUUUAGUACAGAUGCUUUAAAACUUGCAGUUAAAAAAAAUAAAAAAGGUGAUAAUAAUUGAGGAUUAUAUGACAAAAUAAAUCGUGAUCUUUUUUUUUAUGUCGCCCAGUCCUAAGUCCAGAUGAAAAAAAAAAUAAAGUGCAUAUCCAGCCCAGAUUCUGCUCUCUGCCAUCAGUAACAGUCUCACAACGUGUUUAAACUCAUUACUGGAAUCUUGAGCUUUUGAAAAGUAGUUCUGUUAUUGUCUUCAGGUGUCAGGUAAUCCAGUCAAAAGUCCUUCACACAAUAUAAGGUUUGGCUAUCUGAUCGGUGCUUCUUGUCAGAGACAAAAUAUGGCUUACCUGGAGAUAUCGAACAAAAUCAAGUACAAGGAAACAUAAUGCUUCUCUUAUGUAUGUACUUAAGAAGAGAAAAACAAUUUACUGUUGUCGUUAUGCUUUCUGUUAACAGUUAAGAAGGCACCAUUGGCAAAGGCAGAUGAAAACUUUGAAUGUUGAAGUCCUUUCUUUGAUCGCAGUUUAAACGUCUCUAAGCGGAUUAAACUGUCAUAUUAGAUAGAUUUGCCUCUAAGGGGAUAAAAUUUAAAUCCUCCAAGUCUCAGCAGUGAAAUCUGUAACCUUUUGCAUCCUUCCACACAUGGCAGCACUGCUAAAAAAUUGCAAACCCUCAGCUUUAGGUUUGUCAAGGCUUGUCAUGUAUUAUUCAACAUGUCAGAAAUCACUGGUGACAACAGAGUGAAGGAUGUGAAGUCCUGCCAGAAAAGCAGUUGUUUUUAUUAACUCGUGUGUGCUCGAAGGUGUUUAUUUUGUUCAAACCUAACUCACCACAAUAUGCAGGGUCAGCUCAACCACUUUGAUGCUGGAGGCAACAAUGAUUGGCAUUCCUCACCCACUCAGCACUCACAUCCACUGAUACUGCCUAACAACACAAAAAUGAGUUUAAAAACUUUCUCAAGGUUAUCACAAAUUCCAACCCUAUUAAAAAAAAACAUGUCCUCAUAAAUUGACACCCCCCUUGAGUCUUUUUCAAUCUGAUGCCAGCCACAUGUUUGAACAAAGUUUGGAUAUGAUCAUGUUUAUCACCCUGUUUCAUCAUCUCCUCAACAACAACAACUCGGGAAGUAACUGAAGAGACCAGUGCUGUCAGAGAGGUUUACCCAUUCCUGCUUGAUGGGGGGUUUCAGCAGCUCUACAGUUCAGGAUCUUUUUCGUCAUAUUUCACGUUUUAUAAUGUGCCAAACUUUAAAUGGGUGACAAAUAGUAAGUGAAGGCAGUCAGAUAUGACUCUUGGAGUCCCACUGAGGAACCAUUCUGCUGCAACACUUGCAGAAUGUGAUCGGACUGAAACAAGCAAGUCUAUCACAGGAAAGCUGUUUCUUGGUCCUAAGUUGGUACAUUAUAUUUCAGCAUUUAAAGUGCCGUUAUAGGUGUUGAAGUUACCCAUGUCAUGUGCACUAAUGAAGCCUUUUGAAAUGCACAGUGGUAACAAGCUGGAUGCUCCCUAUCCCUUUUAGCCCUGAACACUCAGCGUCCACAGUUGGGAGCUGGAUUUAUACUUUUGUGUUGAAUGUGUGCAGUAGCAUACACUGUUGGUUGGUAUCUACUCAGAUGGCUAGGUGAGUAGGUAACUAUGGGCUCUAUUUUCGUGCUCGCCGAUGGCAUGGCGGAGGGUGGUGGACCCCGCGCAGUGGUAUUUUCUUCUGGCUGAGCCCAGUCUACAGCCAGUUUGGUAUUUUCAUAGACUGAGGUGCACCAAGGUCCGCCUAGCUGGGCGAGGUGGCGCGGCAGGGGGAGGUGUCGACAGAAUCAGCUGGCGCAGUGACAUUUUCGUGCUCGCAGACGGCGUGGAAAGUGCGCUGAAAGCUCGCCAAUUCAAACCUUGUCAGCUUUCAGCGCAGGCGGAGUACAGCUGAUCCAGUGGUAUUUUGGUAGACCGGCGGCGUAUCGGUAUAUGUCACUGAUGCCUCACUGUCAGGUUUCCACAGUGUCAGGCACAUUUCAGUGCAAUAAAUAAUCAUCAACAACCAAUAUUCUGAGUCAGCACAUACAUUUAGAUCUAUGGAUAUAUUCUGAUCUUAUCUGAUCUGAUGAGCGCGUUUGGCACGUGUUUGGACACUCAACUUAACCGAAUCAACACAGCUGAAACCGCAUUAUAUUAAAUUAGAUAUCUAGUAAACAGACACACAUGAUGAAGUUAAUAAGACAUUGAAUUCGUCUCCCCCCUAUGUCUAUCUUCCUCUUCCUCUCCAAAUUGUGAAGAUAUUUUAAUAAAUUAAGUUAUUAAGACAUUUUAGGCUUUUCUUGAGGUUGGACCUUGGUAAAAACCCAGUGACUUUUGGGGAUGGACACGUUUAUCCCAGUUUGAUUUAUGUGCAGUAGACAGUGUUUACAAUUAAAAAAAACAUUUUCAUCACUUAAGUUUCAGUUGUGUACUUCACAUUUACUGCCUACUGCAAUUUUUAUCAAGCAUUCAGUGAUUAGAGUUAGAGAAACGUCAGAUAUUUUUAAUAGUAUUAUUCAUUCGUUGACAUGUAAAAAGUGUUUUCUAGAUAACUUAAAGUCUGCUGUGAGAUCACACAAUAACAUCUUGCUAAUGAAGAAAUAAAGCACUUAGGAUCGUGACAACAGAAGCGUACAUAAUCUCAUCAGACAACAUCUCUGAGAAAUGACAUCAGAGUCUGGCUUCUUGCCCUUGCUUCUGUUUUGGGAGAAUCAGAAAAGAAUGAGUUAUGUUUUUAUCAUCUGCAACUGAAUGCUCCAUUACCUCUCUCUCUAGUGUAUUUGUCUUGAGCCGUGUGCAGUCAGAGGUUCAGCCAGAGAGAGUGAGACAGCAGUGAAACAAGAGGAGCAAGAGUAAAGUUGCAAAGGAAAUUGACUAUUCAGCUGCUUUAUAUUAACCUUAUAUGAUGUGCAGCAGCCAAAGAUAACCAUAUAAAUAAAAAUAUCUUCAAAAAUCAUGAAAAAAGCUAGAAUUAGGACUCAUGGCGCAGCUAUAAUCCAAGCCCUCCAAAGAUCAGCACCACGGACAGCAGCCAUAGUGUCGCAUUUUAUUCAGGACUGCUCAGUCUGACACCACAUUCCUGCCUCUAGUUUAUCACAAUUACAAAACCUGCAAACAUGGAUAGUUUUACGGACCCUCACAGAUAUGAUGGCCCAUGUACAAAAAAUUAUACCAGUUUUUAUUGUCCUGUUUCAGCCGCCAUAGAUGAAAAUCUGGAUACUCCCUGAAUGAGGGAAACUUUGUCAAAAAAAACGUACCUGAUGAACUUGAAACUCCUGUAAGGAACUUUUGGAUUAAGGUUGUCAAUCUUGACGUCCCCGGUGGACAAAGCAGUCUUUGCUUUCCUUGUCCACUUCGUGCUCGAGUAGUGAUUUAUGACAACAAAUCUCACCCUGCUGACUUUUUACUGUCAAAUGCAUCAUUCAUUGUGAAUAUUUUAUGAGGACAUUGUAAAAACAGGACCGUUUCUUUAGCAGCAAGGCUCAGACCUACACUCACGCACCGGACAAUAAAAAUAAGGGUAUAAGUCCUCAGUCUUAUCACUGAUGGUCUUGCUGUCUCUUUUAUGUCAUUAAAAAGCAUCAAUAUGAAUUUGAGUUUAAACAGCCUAACAAAAAGAAAAAACUCCUCAUUAGAGUUUUAAGAUUUAAACCAUGUAUCAUCUGUUUACAUGGAGAAGACGAAUCUUAUGAACAUUACAGCAGACAGUCAGGAGGAGAGUGACAAAUGUUUUGAUAUUUAGUUUGGUUUCAUAUUUCUGUUUUUUACAGUCCAUUGGGGACUAAGUGAAGUUGACAUUUGACCCCUUUUUAAACAAAAUCUAUGACUUCUCCUUCCAGAUAUUUCCACGACAUUUAUAAAAUUAAAUUCCUACGCAGUGUCUUUUUUUUAACCUUUAACCUCUGACCUCGAAACAGAUGUUUGUGCCAGACAUAUAAAGAGAAAAAUUCUCAGGGGUUCGUGAGCUGUCAUGUCACCAAGAAAAGAAAAGCCAGGAGGUUAUAUUGGCUAUGAGCUUUAACCUUUGACCCCCGGAUGAAAUGAAACUAUGUAAGUGAAAUCAGAAAGACGGCCUUAUCGACAUUGUUUUUUCGUCCCUCUCUCUUCCUGUCUUUGCUUGAACAAUCAGCCGAUCAUGGUUGUUUAUUAUUUCAAACAUUAGACCAAUCAAAUUUAGCUGUUACCUUAAUGAUCCAUUAAUCCCUCUGCUGUCAAACUUUCAGGCUGAUUUCCUCUGUGCGCUGUCAGUUUGUCAUCUCAGAGUAGAUCACAGUGCAACCCUUUGUCCCCCCAGUUGCCUAAAGACGCCAUAUUUGGAUACACUCAAGACUUUACGUGAGUCGGAUUAUUGUCAUAUCUUGAAAUAUUUUGGCCCUCGGAGAAAUUAGAUGUUUGUUAGGAUUUUAAUUAAUGCCCUCUAGAUUUUAAUGAUAUAUCGUUAUUAAAAGUAUGAGGUGGACAAAAUGAAGAACAGAGAACAAUGAGCCUCUGCCCUCUGGCACAGAGACAUAAAAUAUUGCUGUUGGCCUGCAGGAACAGUCAUUGUGCUUGUGGGACUUUCCUGGCUUGUGUACCUGUUUUGCAACCCAAGCUGCGUCUGUGAGUGGCAGCAGGACAGGAAACGACAGGGACAAAUGUGUCUGUGCUCCAGGUGUCACUGUUAUUUAGGAGUCAGUCAGUUCCUGGUGGGGAGGCAGGUGGAUUUGCAAGGAUUAGUUUGAUUCUUGAUGAACCUCCUGGGCUCCUCUGAUUAUUUCACAAAGAGACAGCCCUUUUUCACCAUCUCAGGUUAAACAAUGUGUGAAAUUAAUUUAUAAAUAUUAAUGGCCUUUCUAAUGAAACCCCGCUAAUCCACUUGGAUUGUGUUUGCAAGGCUAGCGUAGAUUAAACGCUUUGAGCUGGUAGCUUUAGGCUGUUUAUCUCAGGUGCUCAGUAUGAGCAGCUGAUCAAUGCAUUGAUUAAAUCCCUGGGAAGAUAUAUUCAGCUCUUUAUCAACUGGCUUUCGCUACCGUCAAGGCUUUGGUGUCUGUCUCCAAAUGAGGAAUAAUUACAUGCAUACAGAGAGAAAAUGAUCCACAAACGUAGAUGAGGGUGACUAAUCAUCAAGGCUGAGUCCACCAGCAACCGGGCGUUGGUUAGAAGCAUCGCCUGAGGGGGCGGUUUUUCCAGAGAAUGGCAAGUUUGUGAAGAAAAAGCACAAGAGAGAUACACAAUUCAGAAUGUGAUUAGUACUCUUAUAUUCUUCUUAGAUAUAUAUACAUAUAUAAUUUUUCUUUUUUUUUUAAGAUACUAGAUGCUUUACUAUUACACUUUAGGCAAAAGAGAGAUUUUUUUUCUUUUUCAUCACAACCAUAAAGAUAAUCAAUGUAGGCUGAAACGAUUCCUUAAGUACCUCGAUUACAAAAAAUGAUCGAGGAAUUUUCUCUGCCUCGAGUACUCAUCUAUAAACUCAAAUUGUCACUGUUUCGCACUGAUUAUUUUCAAGCUGACACGACGUGCCUACUUCACCAUGGCAGAUGGAGGAGUAGGCGCGGUUUUGGACUUGCGGAGCGGAAAAACUGAUUUUUGCCUUAUAGUCGUGGGCGGAGACACCGCUGCUCUGCACUCUCCUCUUCAAGCUAGCUUGUAGCUAGAAGCAGGUAACAUAGGAGCUCUUCAGCUCUCGGAUACUGAUGUCUUUAGGGUGGAAGUUAAUAUCAUAAUUAGUUUUCUUACGAGCAUUGCAAUCCACUAACGCACACAGUUGUUCUACGAUUGUUCCGUGAUAACUGCACUUUGACAAAAAACAUUCUGUUUUUAAUUGAUAGAAUGUUUGGUAGAAUACUUGAUUACUAAAACAUUCAAUAGCUGUAGACCCAAACCAAUUUAUCAAUCAGCCGCACAUUCCCCCAACUAUAUCAACCUUCUCUUUGGCCUCUUCCUGUGAUAAAAUUGAAAUGCUGUGAGACAGCAGCUCUUAGCAGGAUUAAACUGGUGCUGAGUAAAGCCUAUUUUAGCCUGACCACAGCUCUGGGAUGUAUAUGCUACAGGGAGGCCUGGACUGGCUGUUUUCAACUCUAAGCUGCAGGUUUAAAACAUUUUAGCACAGCAAAUAUUUGUGACUGUACAAGCAACCAAAACAUUUACAUUUCAAUCAAAGAGAAAUUUGUUGUCCAGCACAAGUUUCCAGGUCUUUGCAGGUGCUGCGCAAUUAUCCUGCAGUUUUGCUAUAUUACUGAUAUCUAUUUGCAUAACUGCUUUCAGCUGCAUGGUUAGUAAAGAGAGUUAGAGAAAAGGCAAAGGGAUAUAAGAAGUCAACAGGCAGGAAGGCAAAAAGCCAGAGCAAAGAAACACGAAGAGACAACAAACAAAUAGACCAGCAGAUGAAUAGAGACAGAUAGCAGAACGGUAUGUAGGGAAAUGUAUUGUUGCUCUUAGAAGACAACCGCUGAUUGCACAUCACACUGCUAAUGACAUCUGUGACAUUUUAGGAGCUCUGAGUGAGCUAUGGUCAGUGUGCAGCAGGGAUCUCACUCUUGAUCUUAAACUGAUUGGAAAUUUAAGGAAUGGAAAUCUAACAGAGACAGAGAGAAAGUGGGUUUGACAGCAGGACUGUGGCAUAUUUCAUACGCUGGGCACCUCUGAAUUGAUAUUAGUGGUUCUGUUGUCUUCUUCUAAAUGUUUAUGGCUGGUUGCUGAAUUCAGGACCUGAUCUAAAGCUCAAUAGCUGCACAACAGACAUCGGUACUGAGAUAGGAGAAUGGGACUCUGUUAUUAAAUCUGGACAGACAGCGUAACAUAUUGAAAAAUAUAGGAUUGCAUAUAUUACACCAGUCAGUGCUGUCGUACUGAAGUUCAAGACAAAACAAAACAAGUCCAGGAAAUUCAGAUGAACUUGGUAAUUCGUGCAUCCAUGCAAAUUAGUUGUCUGCAUUGGUUUCCCACACUGUCACCUAAAAGUGCAGUAUAUAGAAUGAUGAUAUUUGCAACAUCGAGUGGUAACAUUAAAAAAUAGAGCUCCUCCACACCAAUCUCUCCUGAUACUGAGGCAACGGUGGCCGUCAAGGACAAAAAACAAUUAUGCAAGUAAUUCAGCUGUUUCAAGAAAUAAGGUGGUAAUGUUUUCACUGAUUUUAUUUUAUAGGUUAUGGCUCAGUUUAAGAUACCAAUUAUGAGUUGUUCAUUGUUUUAGUAAUACAAGCUGACAUUAGCAAAGCAACAUUUCUCAAGUAUAACGGACACAUUAAAAAAGCUCUGAUAUGUAAAAUUCUUUUCCUAUCAACAGUAAGUCAUAGCAAAAACCUUUCCUUUAAGGUUGUAUUACAUGAAUGAAGCUGUAGGUAAAUAAAGGUGUGUUGUUACAAAAGAAUAAAGACAGUAAAGUCAUGAUUUAACGAGAGUGAAUUUAACACAGGAACAAAGUUGUGAUCAAGUCGUAGUUUUGGUUCGCGGUGAGCAGCCACUGUCUGUGUCAAAACAAGGAUCAUGUUUUGGCUCUUCAGGAUCACAUUGUUAUUAGUAUCAGGACUCUGAGAAGACGGAGGGGAAUAAGCGGAGACAUGUGGCAACCUCCCUCAAAACAGCGUCUUGUUGCUAAUCAGUGGCAAACCCUGAAGUUAGUUACAGAAUAAGGAGUCAUGCUACUGUCAGAGAAAAUGUAGAAAAUAAUGAGUUUUGAGAGUUGACUCAUUAUUCUGUCAAAACAUUAGCAGUACCCCUGAAAGCGGCUCCGACUGAGAUAAUUUGUGCUUAGUCUUUCUGUGAACUGAUGUCACUCUCAGCAAAUUAGCGUUUUCUUACCUGUACAGAAAAAACCUACAACUUCACCAUCUUUACCGUUUGUGUGCAAAUCAGUGCAAACAUAAUUUUUUCAUCAAGAUGUUCUGUCUAUGAAAAGUAACACUGACGUUGAUUCUUACUUUCAUUGCCUGUCCUGAAAGCUUUUUACUUCUUCAUGUUUUUGGUGUUUUGGACAAAAACUCUGAUUCACAUCCUGUGAUUCAUGAGAGAUAUGACUCGCUAUUUGUCAAGGUUUUUUUUUUUAACACUAAAAACUUCUCUGAAUACAAAUUCAUUUGAACACAACAACAACUUAUUUCACCCUUCCCCCUCCUGCCCUGUGCUCUCCUACAUUUAACCACCAGAUGAGAACAAAAUGCACUUGGUUCUUGCUAAUUUGUCCAUUCUGACUUAACGUAGAGACGCAGAAGUGCAACAAGGAAACCUUUGAAUUGAGGACCGGUUACCUCUAUAAUAUAACAGUUGUUGUGUGUCAUCAUAGACUGUAUAUACUAUGGACAACUUGGCUCCGCCUUCCGUCAUUAUACGAAUUUGAAGCCGAAUUGCUCUCGGUAUUUCCAGGAUUUUCUCCACUUCUUUGAACCACCACUUGUAGAGUAGCGUUGUACGUAUUCAGUGAGAGAGUCGCUGCGAUGACGCUCAAACAGCAUAUCCCCUGGGUGAGGUAGGCAAUCUUCGUACGCCCAUAGGCUGUAUCAAGUGUCAAUCAUAGAAAACAUGAACCCCCAAAUAACUACAAAAAAAGAGGACUUGAGCACAAACCAGUCUUAGGAUUUAUGACCUAUACUGCAGCCCGUCACCAGAGGGUGCUGUUCUCGCGGUGGUUUCACCCGGCGAAGAGACAGACGGCGUCCAUUCUUUAUACAGUCUAUGUGUGUCAUCAAAAAUGAAGUAAUUAUGGUGUUACAUUCGAUAUCAAGUAAUUACACACACUGAUGAUGGAGGCUUCUAUGUAAAAGGUCCAUCGGUUUUGACUGAGGCAGCUUGGGGUCAAGUGUCUCGUCUUAGAUCACCUCAGUAGGAGCAGACAGUAUGAACUUUAGUUGAACCCUCUCCACUCUACAGCUGAGCCAGGACCCGAGAUAGAGCUCCAUAAAUACAGUCCAUUUAACACAGGCAAUAAUACAGCAGCUCAGAGCUAUCACUAUCAAUGACAUUAAGAAAAGACUUUAAUUAAAGAUUAAGAAAUGGAUCAAAACUUCGUGAAAACAAAUGGCUGUAAACUUCCCCAUCAUUUGGUAUAAGAUGAUUGCAUUAACGCAGAAGUAUUGAGUAGUAAAGUUUUGAAGAGAGAGGUGGUAAAAGUCCAGGACCAUUUGUCACAAGAUAUAUGUUUUUUUUUUUUGACUGUGGGCCUGACUAUAUAUUUUGAUUAUUCAUAGUCUUACACUCAUCAUAUUUCACAGCUCAUACCCAAUAAGUCGGGGUAUAGAAAUGCAAUACUGCUUGAGAAAUGGUUCUGCUCUGACUCAGUUACCCAGCACAGGGAGAGCGAAAUGGACAGACAGUAAAAAUAGAUGUAUGGAGAUAUGUGAACUAUAUAACAGCAUUUAGAAAUACUUUAUGAUCAUAUAAGCUGAUAUUGGUAGGUAGGACACGUUAUUUUGAAUAUUAUAGUUUGUUUAUACCACCUUGAAAAGUCCUCUGACAGAUUUCCAUCCGCGUGUUCUGUCACCUUACAUUAAGCCUUCUUCAAACAAGCAGCUUUCAAACAUACAAGAGGUGAGAAAGAUAAAUUCUGUUUGGAGUUCCACUUUAACCUCAUGAACAAUGAUUUAUUGUCUUGCACACACUCUCUCUAACAUCAUUUGUACAAAGCAGCCGGCAUAUGGUGUCUCGGCGCAGCUGCUGCUGUUGGGGAAUAUUCAGCGAAGAAUUCAUUUACCACGUUGGUCCCACUCGCUGUGACAGGAGUAGAAGGCUUGUUUUGUAACAGCAAUAGAGGUGAAGUUCAGCUGUAAUGCUCUGUGGCAAAUUGAUUAUAUAUGAGCUGCAAUGAGGUACCUGUUCAGAGUAUUGAUCAGAGACAAUUGGUCUGUUUGGUUCAAAGUAAGCAGGCCACCCACCCUCACUUUAAUUGAAGUGACAAACAUUUAGAGCCGGAGCCCUGAAUCCCAGAUUCACCUCCAGGCUUUGUGGGGUAGAGUCAGAGCGUAACAGGCUGGGUAGAUUUUCUUUAAUCCAACAUGACCAGUGUUUUAUGGCCUCAUGCUGCUUUCUCUGUCCUUUUUCUUCUUUAUUUCUGCCUACAGAGCAAGCUGGAGGUUGGUGUUUCAAAUUCGGUAUUAUGCAAUGUGUCGCUUUGAGUCUCAUUUUAGGUCUCCUAUUUUGUCGAGCUAACAUGCUUUGUCAUACAAAUAAUGUCACCAAAUGGCUUCUGUAAUCUGUUACACACUGCAAUUUGUUUGUUGCCCAGCUUUGUAGAAGUGGCAUGCAGAUUAUUCCUCUCCGUCUGUUUCAGAGCAACUGUGACAGGCACAGAUGUAAGAUACAUUGAGCGCAUUAAGCCUGCAGCCUCACUCCUUUCUCUUCCUCCUUUACCUCCCCAGUGGUUUGUGAGAAAUUAUCACUUGUGUGGAUUGCAGGGUGCUGCAAGGCGUCAUAUAGACAGGCCAGUAAUGAGGAUAUGAUUCCACAAUCCGCCACCUGGACUGGAGAGGAUGGGACGGAGGAGGAUGAGAGAAUGAAGAGGUGGAAGGAAAGGAGACAGGGAAGGGGAGAUGAGACAAGAAUUGAAGGAGGAUUUAAUGGUGUUUGUGUUCAGCCACAUUCCCCCGGCUCUGUCUGGGGCCCACAGGCAACAGAAGCAGCAUCUGCUCUGGGCAGGAUAUAAUGCUGAGGACACUGAAGAAGACUAUUGAUUAAAGCCAUCAAUUCAUCCUGGUUUUUUUCUGCUAUUGUGAAUCCCCACUGCAGUAAUUAUAAUGCAUGUGGAGGCAGAAGGGAAAGGAGAAAGUAGACCGGAAUUUGCCAAGAAAAUAUGACACAGCCUUAGCACAACAAAUCAAGUGAUUGAUUUAAUCACCCUCUAUAACAAUGGGCAUAAAUAUACUGCUAAAUCUGCCUUUAGCUGUGUGGGAAGGCCUUUAAACAGCAUUUGCCUCAGUGUCAGCCAGAAACGCAUUACUGAGGUCAGGAACUGACGUGGGGUGCAGAGGUGAUGUCUGUACCAAAUGUGUUUGAGGGGGUGGAGGUCAAAACUCUAAACAGGCUUAUAAAGUUUUUCUACACCAGACACACACACACACACACACACACACACACACACACACACACACACACACACACACACACACACGCACACAAAACCUGUCUGUGUACAACACUGAAGCUGCAGUGUUUACACAGGGGAUGAUGUCUCUGACUUUAAAUAUUUGCAGUUUCAAACUGAUGAUGAUUCCCAGUAUCAGGGUUAAAUUCGGUAAAUGCUAAAUAUUCUUGACCUAGUAGGAUUGAAUUGAGGGCUGUGCUGAGAUGUAAAAUCGUUGCAUUUUAUUUCCUUGCAAAAUCAUAACCAGCUAUAUGCUAUAUGAUCAAAAAGGCUCAAAGAUAUUGUCGACAAAGCAUUUUUCAUCAUUCCUCGCAGAAGAAGAAAAAAAAUUGCACAUGCACUUGUACUUGCACCAGAGGGCUCUGGCCAUUAAUUAUUUAUCUAUCUUUUAAUUUCAAGUUUCAAAGUUAUAUUACUAAGCUACGUAACAUUUUGAGGCUUUUGUGCCGUUAUUUAGCGAGGACAGGACAAUGAAAAGAGCAGUAAACCAGGAGAGUGGGGAGUGACAUGCAGGAGAGGGGCUGCAGGUGAAUCUUACCUGUUGUGCCUGCUGGAGGAUUAUAGUCUCAAAGGGCGAGCUACUUAACCACAAGGUCAAAUGGACAGUCUGGUACUGGCUCGUGUUACUCUUUAAUAUUUUUGUAGGAGGGUGUUUUUCAUGUCAAUAUAUUCAUUUUGGCCAUAAAGAUUAUUUUUGUAGAUGUUUUCAUGGAAAAAUACUCUGACAAUGAGCAUUUUUGAUGUAACAAUCUUUAAAACAUGUUAGUAAGGAGUUAAAAGGUGCUAAAAGGGUUUUUUAACCCUUAAAGGUGUAAUAUGACCUGCAAAAAAUUUUGUGUGCCUUUUGCUGUGGGUAGGGUGGAAAUUUUGACAUAUAUGUAUCUAUGGAGAGAGAGAGAGAGAGAUCCUCUGAAUCUUUCUGUGAGAGGCCCUUUGGUCCAUCACAGUGUUGUAAAACGGAUGAUCUAUGUAAGAUCUAAUAUCUAACAAGAACUUUAUUGAUCCCUGAAGGGGAUGUCCCACAGAUCCACAGCAUCUUCAUAUCUACUUGAAAUGGUCAACAGAAAAUGCACCAUAUUUACACUGGGCCUUCUCCAGUGUUCUGACCACUCAAAGCACUUUUACAGCCCAUGUCACAAUACCCCAUAUGCAACACACCCGUUGCUUAAUUUACUGCUGCAUGAGGUACCCAUCAGCUAAUCCCAUAAUCAUACUUGCUUGGGUGUCAGUAUCUUGCCUAAAGACACUGAGGCAUGUGGACAGCGGGACUUGGGAUAGAACCCCGAACCCCUUAAACUGUCCCACUGAACCAAAGCCAUCCGUAACACAUGUUGUGUUUGAUUUACGAUGCUAUGUAGCUCGUCCUAUUAGUCUUUUUCUGCUUCCAGUGCUUGUAGAAGAUACCUCAGGGAGGUUCCUUCUUUUUAAACUCCCAGAGGUUAACUUAAUCUCGAUAUAUUUUUUACCUUACUUCUAAGAAAUUAAACCAAAAUCUACAAAAAAGUGUGUGUUUGUCACUGUCUUACACAAAAAGUCACAACAACUUUGGAGCAGAGUGCACUCAGGCUAAUUUACCUAAUUGCCAUUUUGGAUGUUGUCCAAUCACUGAGUGAAACAUCUCAUUCUUUUCUGUCCACAUCCAGGUUUUAUUUAUUGACCUAUUUGUGUUGGUCUAGCUAUGAUAAACUGUGUAGAGCAUGACCUGGAGUAUGAUAGAGUGAGCAAACAUUGAAAAAACUGUAAUCACUCGUGCCCACAGGGAGUCAAUCAGUCAGCAAAUCCUGGACCUAACCUAACAUGAGUUUCAGUAGCUGAAUUAAUCACCUGGAAUAAAGUAAGGUCUGCAUUUUCUGAUUACAUUUUUCAAAAACCACAGAGAAAACCAAACCCGCUGUAAUGAUAGAGCACACAGUGUUUGACAGCUAAUAAGUUUGAGGAUUGAUAGAUGGGAUGGAAAGUGGGCAGGUGGAGGGAAACGUUUUCAACCGUGUUGGAUGAUCAACAGCAGGAGAAUGAUGACAGAGUCAGUGGAUGUCAUGAUCUCUGUUAUUGUUACUGAAGUGUUACAACAUACAUGAAGUCAUGUGCCUCACAUGUUGCCCCCUCCUCCUCGACUCCUGUCUCGUCCUUUUUGUACAGAUUUAUUAUUUCUCUCCUCCCUCUGGUGACAUGGCAGCUGCCCCUGUCAGGGCCUGAUUUAUGGUGUAAUUCAGUUGUCACUGAUGCAUAUUUGAAAGGCACACCUCCUACUGUCAGAGCACAUGUAAUUCCUUUUGACUGCUGUGUAAUCAUAUCUUCAAUACAGCCUAAUGUUACCAAACAAGCAGAUCUACACAACACACUGUAGUUCAUAUUUCAGUCCCAGAAAAGGAGCAAAAACAAACUGCAAAGAAAAAUGCUGCAGUUGUAGCAUGAAUACUGUGACAGCAGCAUCCAUCAGAAACGUUAUCAAAAAGCUGCACAUGUACUGUAUGUUCUCAGGCUCAUACGCACAAACAAGGAUUUACAUGCACAAAAACAUGUGCACUUUGCUCAGCCAUUGUGAUAACCCCAAAUGCCAUUUCCAAAGGGUACAAAAAAAGCCCAUAACACCCCCAGCUGCACACUGCUGAUUUGUCCUCUAUCUCUGACGUGACCUGCUGUCUUCUCAGUGUGAUUCAACUUAUGAGUGUGUGUGUGUGUGUGUGUGUGCACGUGUGCAUUUGUAUACCAGUAGCUCCAUGCAAACUCCUCAUUUUCUCAGUGAAAAGUUUAGAGUUUUAAGAAAUUUUAGUUAAAUUUACCCUCUCAAUGAAAGGAUGCAGUUAACUUGACCUUUGUUAAUCCAUUAUGAACCGCCUUUCAACAUUUACAAAAAAUGCAAAUGAGUGAAUGUUGCUCUCAAUGAGAAAGCGCUAUUUAAACACAGUCUAUUUAGAGUCUGAUGGCCAGAUUUCACUAAAUACUCCCAUUUCUUCACACUAUACCGACCUUUUUUUAACGGCAGACAUUUUAAUCUGUCCUAUCAGAUAAAGUACAGGAACAACUCACACAGAGUUAGCGGCAUAUCCAGGGAGCGGCAUGGUCCUCCCUCUUAAAUCUUGACCAGCCAGCCAAAGCGCUUCCUAAACUUCUUAAGUAGGGCUAGUUAAAGGUAGUACUAAUGUUAAAAAAAAAUUAGUGUUGCAACAGGCUGCUUAAUAUCUUUAGUGACAUUUUUAUGGUUUUCAAAUUCUCUUGUGAUAUAUUGUUUUUAUUUUAAAAGCCUACAGCCACACAUGUAGCAACAACCAUGCAAGAAGUCAAAGAAGAUGAACUUUAUUCAUCCCCGAAAGAGAAAUUCGAUGAUAAAUAAAAGUGAAAAAAAUACUGUGGCUAGAGUAACAGAAAUAUUAAAUGAAAUGACAUUUCCAUCAAAAGUCUCCAACCGAGUUAAACUACCCCAGCAGUAAAAUGAGAAGCUAGGCACAUCCUGUGUCAUUUAUUAGUCUCAAUUUUGCCACUCCCAGGGCCUGGAAAAGAGGCUCAUUUCUAGACUGAUACUAGUAGCAUGUCAAAGGCAGUCCCAUUUGAACACCUCAAAUGUGGCUGAAAAAUGAGUUAUACUUUUAUUGACCACAGAGGAUACUCGGAUGAGUCUUUUGUGGUCCACCGUACCCCAUGAUUAAUCGCACGUCCAUUCAAACUAGAUGAGGGACUUCCAUGUGGCAAAGUAAAUUAUAAUUUCAAGUCAUUUGGAUUUCUAGGGUCCUCACACGAGGACGGUCCCGUAUUGUCUUGGCGUUGGCACCAAAACAUAUAUCUCUGUUUACACAUCGUAUUGUACAUACGCUUAGUGCAUUUACAUGACAAUGCAAAAUCAGGUUCGGGUUGCCCGUCUGGUUCUGCUCCGAGGUGGAUUCCACGACAACAAGUUGUGCACACGUAACACGCUGCGUCUCUGCAUGAGCAUUUGUUGCUGUUGUUGCCGUAGCUGGUGUUGCUGUUGUUCUCAAAUUAUAAAAGUCGUAGCAAUAUUUGUAGUUGCUGGAACAAGAACAAAAUCACCCCAGCUACCGCCAUUGUUGUUGUUGCUGUGUGUGUGACAACGUGGGUUGGGGGGCAGAGAGGAGGAGGGGUGCUAUGAGGUCACCGUCUUCUCCGGACUUUUUUUUCUUUUUAUUCUAUUUAUUUUAACUACGGCAUAAAGACGAAUACCCAGAUAUCCACUUGCAGACCCGUUUUCAAAAAAGAUGCGGAGUCAUGGACAAAUACGCAUCUCCGUGUGUCAAUAUCACCAGAUCGAUAGUUUGUCUUACAAAUUUGUACUCGUGUAAAGACCACCUUAGUUGGCCUGUUGGCCUGUGUGUUUUUUGUUUCCCCCUCCCCCAGUGGUGACCACAGAAGCAGCACACCUGUGUGUUCACUGAUCAUGGAGCUCUUGCUGAGUGCACCUGAUGCAGAUCAGCAAUCAGCAGGUUUUAUUGGUGGGGAGCUGGCAGAAGGCUGCUGCCAGAAUGUUAUUGUUUUUUUGCCCUGAGAAGAAGUCUGUAGUUUUUAACCUCAGCCUGAUCUCUGAGUAGAAUUAGAGACAUUUAUCCUCUCAGUCGUUUGGUUUGUUUUUUUCUUUCAGUGAGAGUGAUUGUAAGUUGUUUAGCGUUUGUGCUUUCAAUUAAAGUUUCGAACUUACCUGUUUGUUUGCAAUUCUACUCCUGGGUCCACAACUUACCUCAUGUCGGUCUCAUUUUAGUCCAAUCAGAGCCGUCUUAGCAGGCUGAAAGGCUGGUCCUUGAAAAGAUGGUAUGCCUUAAUUGGGACACAGCUUGUAUUAUGGGUCACUGUCAUGGCACUUAUUUGGGUAAUUAUAUUGAAGAGAGUCAUUAGUAAUGCUAUCAGCUCCACCUGUGCCUCUCCUUCCAUUAGAAACCAAGUUUCUGCUGUAAAUGAAGGUCUUCUACCAACCAAAUCUACACCAAACAUUAAAGGGAUAAUCCUGCGUAAAAUUAAAUUAGGGUCAAACACACUGUAACACCAAGGUAGACACCUCCUCAAGAGAUGACUGUUGCCAACUUCUUAAUUCUCUGGUUCAGGGGUGGGCAAUCAUGUGCCAUGGGGGGCCGAGAGGCUGCAGGUUUUCUUUCCAACCCAAAACUCCACCAGGUGGUUUCACUGAUGCAUCCCUGCGCUCUGCUUGGAGGUAAGGUAAUCAGUGAAAUCACCUGGUGGAGUUCUGGGUUGGAAAGAAAACCUGCAGCCUCUCAACCCCCCAUGGCACAUGAUUGCCCACUCGUGCUCUAGUUGUACCAACUUUAGUAACAACCGCAUGAUAGCAGUACACAGCGUUCUAAGUCUCCACGCGCAAACCUCAACCAAAAAGCCACUCUAUAGCCACAAAUAAUGCUCAGAACAGCACCUAACUUCAUCAACAGGACAUAUAGGGUCCCAGCCAUAGUACUAGCCAUCAAACAUCUUUUUAACUUUGACUGAUUUCUUUAGCAAAGAGACUAAACACAACUCACCUACUCUCUUCCAGCAGCCGCUUGUUUGUAAGGAGAGCUUGGAUGAGUCGAUCACCAAGUGCAGCAGAGUCACACAGCUCAAGGAAGAACAUAUAUGAUCAUUGCUUUAUCUUUUCCUUUAAGUAAUAAUCAUCAUAAUCAUUUUGCAUAGCAGACGCGGUAGUCUUUCUGCCUUAGCGUCUCGGUCUGAUUGCUUUUCCAUAAAGAAAUGAUCAUAAAUGUUUGUGUAUUUUUAUCGUGCGGUCGUUACUAAAGUUGGUAUAACUAGAAAAGCAAGCUGUCAGCAACAUUCAUCUCUCAAGAGGAUGUCUAACUCAGUGUUAGAGUAUGUUUGACCCUUACUCAAUUUUACGCCGGAAUGUCCCUUUAACAUGAGCUGAGGUCAAAUGAACCAGUGCAUUUGAAAGAUCUGAAUUGAAGAUGUUACAACAAAAGAAAAAAAAAAAUAACAACUGAUAAGCUCAUUUUAGGAAAUUUUUUUAAACCCAGAAGAAAUUCUUACUUUGAGGAGAUUAUUGCAUUUUCCCUUCUUGGAAACCCAAAUUUCUGCCAUGUCCUUUUUCUUAAUAAUGCUAAAUGAUGUGACAUGAAUUAUGGAGAGUCUCAUAAAUGAUGAAUGCCUGUCACGGUGAAGGCAGAGCAUCAGCUUCUGCAACUUCAUCAAACAGGACAUACAAAAUCUUGGCAACAACAAGAAGAAAUGCAUCACCGUGCUGUCUUCUAAUUUAUCAGUAACGGUGUGCCAGACAGGCCUUUUAAAGCAUGGACAUUUUAACUUGUCAUAGCAGAAAGAGCACAGGUGUUAUUAAUAAUGUUAACGAUGUCUCUGUUCUGUUUAAGUGUCCCUGUAAGGCUUGACAGUUUGACAGUGAGCCAUUGUUUAAUUUAAACAUCAUUAAUUUUGUUAUUCACACCUGUGUGCUUUUUCUACUGUGGCUUGUCAAAAGUGAAUUCUCUGGAAAGGACACUGGAGGACAAAGUAAAGAAAAAUAAUGUUGGAUUCUUUAAGCUAUUCCCGUAGUUCAUCAUUUUAUUAUACAGAAAGCAAUCAAAGGAACACUUAAAGAGUUUAUUGUUUUUUUAUUUUAUUUUACCUUGCUCUGAAAAUGUCACUUGAUGUCUUAUUAAGUGUGUACUUUUGUCAUUUGAACCAGAAAAAAACAUUGCUGAGGGUAUCUGUAAAGGAGUGUUUAUUUAAGAGAGAAAAAAAUGAGUAAUGACAUUUAAUAUGCAAAAGUCAUAGAAUAGCUUGUACUAGUGAGAAACACUCCAUCAGUAUUCAAGUACGGCCUCUAAGCUUUAAGUAGGGAUGUGAUGACAGCUCUGAGAAAAGUCAACACCUCACAAAAGCAGCACGAAAAGCUGCAUUUGAAAUUUUAACUAGCUAUGCUUUUGAAAUGAAAGAGCCUGACUCAUUAAAAUCGCACCUCUCAUCAGCUUACCUCAAUUUCUGUGGAUUCCAGUCAAGCAUUGUAAAGGUCUCUAUGUUUAACAUGCACUCUAGGAGUUUGAUAAGAUGCUCCACCAGAAUAAAUCAGGGUGGAGCGUGGCUUUGAUGAGAGUGUUCUUGAGGAAAACAUCAAUAAAGAGAUGAACUGUCAAGGACCUACACUAAAUUUACUGCAGAGCUGUGCUGUAUUACAGACCUAGGAUCGAUAACAUGCUGUAGUUACAUUUACUUCUGCUGGACUUCAGCCCGUCUCACAUGAACUCAUGACAAGCUCCACUCCAUUACAGACCAUCCAGUCCUGACAUUUCCGAUACAGCCUUCAGAUUGUGGGUGUGUGCAUUUGUGUGUUCGACGGAUUUUGAGAACAUCAGAGUCCCCACACAGAAUGAUGACUGAUGAUAUAUUAAUUAGUUUUGUGUUGUGUGCAACACGCUCCUUUUCCCGACUCUUAUAUCUUGAAAUCUCAUGAAGUUCUUUAUGGUCAAACAUGUUUUAAAGUUAAACAAACUUAGCAGUGUGUGGGAGCUAACAAUCAGCUGCUUAACUUCAUUUCUGGAGUCUCUAUUUCUUUACAACUCCUCUAUCGCGUAAAUACCAGGGUUGUCGAUGUAUAUCAAGUGGAUUCUGUGAUUUGGGCAUCGAUCUCAGCUUACCCAUGUGGAAACUAAAAAUAUCUACUGCCUGCAUGUUAAAUAUUUAUUUUUUAUAUGCGUAGCAUGUCCUGUAAGGCUUACAUGUUUCGUCCUAUAAUUUACUCAUAAAAGUGACCACUUUUGCAUUUUUUUUAAUUCAGUGUACUCACAAGAAUAAAGUAUGGACACUUUAUAUUUGUUACAAUGAAUAAAUUCAUUUGUCAGGGUAAAUUUUACUCAAAUUGAAGAAAAUUUUACUCUGAAAAAGAUUUUGAUCCCAGUAUAAAUAGAGUGAAAUCCCACUGAGUAAAUUUUACAGAGUUGUUUUGACUCUAUUUAGUGUUCAUAUUUUACUCUGCAUGAUAAUAAUUUACUCUGGUUUGUUUUAAAUUAAAGUAACUCUAGAGUCACUUUCCUCCAUUUAGUGAUGUAUUUUACUCUAUACAUAAUAAUAGUUAAUUCAAAACAGAAUGAUAAUUCAUUCAAUAAAGAAUUAAAUUCCACUCCACUCCAAUUCCAUACCCUACUCCAUACAGAACAUUAUUUUACUCUAUUCAGAAAAAUCUUUCACCCAAAACAGACUCUUAUUAAACACGAUAUUAUUCGAUUUUUUAGGUGUUGUCCAUAUAUGUGCCUAAACACUACAUACACACAACUCUUUUAAAUGAUAGUGCUAUGGUUGUGUUUGCUGUGGGUCCAAGUCAUUCUACAGGAUUAGCUAUCCUUCGGGACAUUUUGCUCACUGUUAUUGUGUGCUGCAACCAUCCAUUUCACUCAAUGUAUGAUAGGAUGCCAAGCAUCACAAUCACAAACAGCUUUUUUUUUUCUCUUAUGUUGACCUGUAUAUGCAGAGUCGAACACAAGAAAGGAGGAGAAUAUAGUCACUGAUGUAGGGCUGACUAUUGACAACGUGUAGAGGUAAGGAGGAACUCAUAAUGUAGCUGUUGAAUGUAAUGUAGCUGUUGAAAGCAAAGUCCUUCAGAUUUGUAGCAUGUGACAAGUAAUAUAUAGAUUACUUACAGUGACAUACCCACCAAUACACUCACACACAUAUGCAGUGAAUAGUACAUAAAACCAGCUGACAGCUUCUCUUUUAGGAUAUGAUGUAGGUGGUGCAGACUUCAGCCAGUAUUUCUCCAUCACAGUGUCAACAUCUAAGGCUCAUAUCAAAGGCCAAACGCUGCAGCUGACACAUGAAACAGACAGGCAGGAAAAAAUAAACAUGAAACUGCAUCCUGUCAUCUGGGUGUCAGAUUAGAAAGAGAGAGAUGCCAUGGUUUCCUUUUUUUUUUUCUUUUUACAAACUGAUAAGUGAGAAAGUGUCUUUAAAAUCCACCAUCUGUGUGAAGAUUGUUCCUUCAUUUCUCUUUGUGUGUCUAUUGAAAUGGUCUCUGCUGGUUGAGGAAAGAUGCUCCAGCUUGUGGCUGGUGUUUGAGUUUACUUUUAUAGAUCUUUUUAAAUCCCAUGAAUCAGAGCACCAAUUCCUUAUUUCCACCAAAAACUAAACAAUUAGCAAUAGAUAAUGGAGCCAGAAAGAGUGAGGGCAUGCAGAUGGGGAUUAAAGUUGCUUUACGAGAUAUCCAAGCAGAGAAUUCCAAUGAAGAAACAAGAAAUGAAGUGAAUACUACAAAUACAUCAAAAUAUGCUGCAUACAACCUCAGUCGGUAGGCAUUACUUUCUUUGUAUCUCAACAACAGCCUGCAACACAGAACUGUGAAGAACUUCAUCCAAAGAAGGUGCCAGACAUCCUUCAUAGGCAUCUUUCCCCCCAGUGGUGUGGCAGAAUUGCAAACAAAAAUAUCUGUAAUUCAUUCCUGUUGGGAAAAAACUGUUUGACUUUUUCUGUCCAGGUGAGAUCCAAGCCUUGUAACUAAUGUCCUUAUUGUGGUCUUUGAGCUGUUGAAUGCUCAGUGGCAAGACCAUGUUUUUUUAUUUCAUACUAAGCUGAUACAGGUAAGAAAAACUGUUGGUGCCAAGAUCUGGCUUCCCUAGGAAUUCAUGCUGUGAGCAUCAGGCUGAACCUCUGCCAACAGCAGGCAGCAAUAAAACAAAGCCUGGGGUGUUAAACCGUUGAGUUUUUGGACUUUAGCUGUCAAGCUCAUCCAACAAAGUGUAAUAUGAUGCUGUUUUGUUGUGCCAAGCAUGUAUCUCGAUACAACCUAAUAUUAGGCUAAUCAUAGACUGUGUGAAGCAUGGCCAGUGAGGCCUUCUAGUAGUUUGAGGUGUUUCGAAGUCUGAUGGUGGGGAUUGGAAAUUGUGACUUUUUUUGAGCCACCGCUUUGUUCGUUGAUUUUGCCAUAAUUGUCUUUAACCUUUGUAAACUCAUCGUUGUCUCAUUUUCAUCUUGGAAAAGAGGGUUGUUGAAGGAUAUUUGUCGUCGUAAUUGUCAUUAAAUGCUGCGUUCCAACUACCCUGGAAGUCAGAAGUCCGAGCUGAAAAUGACGUCACACCCAAGUUACCAGCGUUUCAGUUGCCAAGUCUGAAAAAAGCAAAAUCGGAGGCAGAAACAAAAUGGCUACAUCUGAGAAAGUUAUUUUAGUGCUUGCCUUGUCCAAAUAUAAAUUAGCCAGCCUCCCUUAUCAUUCCUUACUUGUCUCUAUUUCUUGGUUGGGAUUGUGUCCCAAGACAUUUGCCAUGAUUCAUAAUAGGCCCCCACUCCUCACUGCCAUAACUCAGAAAAAUCUUAAUUGGGGAAGUGAGCUGAUUCAGAGUUUUCUUUAAUUGUACAGUGGGCUCUCUGUGUUUUUUUUAGACUCCUAUGAGGUUUCCUUGGUAUUUGAAGGGGGCCUCAAGUGAACACCUGAGGACAGUGUCCUUUGCAUUUUCAAAUUGGCUCCAUGUACCACUUGGGCUAAAUAAGUCUUGCCAUUUAUCUUAAUAGUGAAGAACUGUGAUUAAAUUCCACAUCCCACACUGUCCCAUAAUGAUGUUUUUGGGAGAAACAAAUUAGAAUUCAUUAUAUUGAUUAAAGGUAAGGUGUGGAUCCCAAUCAACUCUUCAAUCCUCAACUCAAAUACCAGCUACAUCAAUUAAGACCAAGCCUAAAAACAGAAUCAAACGUAGUCUGUAGAUGCUGAGCCUUCAUCAUUCUUUCACUGGAUUAAUGAUGUGCCUUAAUGCGAACAAGAGAAACAAUAGUAAGACUGCACAAGUUAGUCUCAACAGAGCAACUCCUAUAACUGCAGACCUUUGUUUUUAUGCUACAGGUUUCACCUCCUCUCUCAGUUUAUGAUGUGCCACAUAUUGCUCUGAAAACUAUUGGCAGUGAGAUAUUUAGUAAAAGGGUCUUAGACAUCUUAAACCCCAUGUUCAUUUGACUGUGCUGCACGUAUUCAAGUCUGGUAGAAACACCUAUUGUUGAUGUUUGUUUGUGGUAACCUUUUUGCUUGAAUCACACCCGAACACUGCCAGUUUUGGGUAACACCGCCCCUCCUCGGGCUCAGCCAAGCUCCAUCUCUGCCUCGCGUGUUAUUCCCUCUGCUGCAGAGGUGAAUGGGUGCUAUCUGCCACCUCUCUGAGACCUCUCAUCCUUCAGGACCCUAAGGCAAGAAGGGAAGAUUAUCUCCAAGCUCUUCCACCUUCGCCAUAAACUUUUUAAAACUAACCUUGGACCUCCAGGCUGCCGUCCAGAAAGCCCAAACUCUCAUCCUGCAAAAAACAGUUUCUCCCAAACUGCAGUUGCUUUUAUCAACAAGGGCCAGGACCUCCACUGACACUGAUGCUUAUCCGACUUCAUGAACACUACACUUAAAGUGUCUAAACAUGAGACUCUGAGUUAAAGUCCCUAAACUAGUGUUGCCUCUAGAAUUCAGUGGUUAUUUCUCCAGCUGUCAUUUUAGCUGCAUAUGUGUGUCUCACAUGGCCAUGAGGCAGUACUCUUUUCUUCCCCCCUCUUGCUUUCUAUCUCCAUCUUUUCUAUUUAGAUGAGAUGGUUAAAUGCAGUUGAAACAUCAAUAAAAUAAAUUAAAUCCCAGCCUCUACAGAAACAUCAGUUAAAUGAUGCCAAAUAGUGUCUGACCUGCUAUUAACCCCAAUCUUAAUCUAGCUGACCAAUGACACAUGUUAAACCCUUGUCAGUGUGUGAUUUGGAGUUUUAUGGGGGCACUUCUGUCUUCAGGUUGUCUGCAGCUCUUGCUCUCUACACUCUCUAAUUCGCUGUCCAGCUGGAUCUUUCUCUUUUUUCUGUUUUAGAUGGGCUACAGCGCACCUAUUACCACAGGUCUAGAAGUCAUAAGCGUUGAGAAAAAGUGAAAAUAACCAAGGGCAUGGUCAAUCUAUCGCGUAUGCCCUCUUUAUAACACACUAAUCAGAAAGCCAAGUGGCACAGCCAAAUGACAAAUUGGUAGAUACAGAAGAUGACUUGUAUUUAUUUGCUGAUGACAUAUUUUAUUGUUUGUUUGUCUUUUGUUUGUGUGUAGCACCAAUCAAUUUUUUUUAUUCUAUUUUUUAUUUUAUUUUUUAUUUUUUUUGAGUAGAGCCGGAGCUUGUAGACUCAUCACUUGGAUGGAUUUGUCAUCAGCAAAAGUCCUUGCCAGCAUGUUUUUUGCAGAUUUUGCAUAAAAUGCACAGAAAAAGAAGAAGAGCAUACUUGGGAGGUACCUAAAACUUUAAGACAUCUCACAGGAAGUACCCAGAAAUCUCUAUGAGAUGCUUACCUUACUUUUGGUAAUGUGUUUCAGUGCUUUUAUUUUUUUUUUCCAGUUCGUUUACUAGUGCAUUGGCACGUCUUCUAGUAAUCAUGUAAUUUCAUCCACCUAACUCAAUUUGAUUAUUUUAAAUUGCAGCCAUGCAUCAAAGUGCUAUUUUGUGCACGCACAAUGCACCAGCCGUACCCAUUAACUCAUACUGGGAAGAGAGGGGAAAAAUGCAUCACAUUAAACUGGGGUGCUAUUGGAUUAACCUGUCAAAGUGAAUGAACAGUCUAAUAUGGUAAGUUUAUUCUCCACAACAACCUUGUAUACGAUAUGCCACUGUAGUGUAAGAUGAGCUGUGUGCAUAAAUUUAACAUCACAUGAAUGUUAAAUCUUCAUAAUGUGAAAUCUUAUUAAAUGUAUAACUUAAAAGUUCUGUGCUUUUUUGACAGUCACUUUGUCUAUUCUAUAUACAGUCUAUGGUUGCCACAUAUCCCUUUUUACAUCAACAAAAUCAACUCUUACAUUGGCAAAUUGGAAAAACUCAGACUCUCAGUUAGGCCUGUCGCGAUAAUCAAUUAAUCGCCUUAUCGCUCGAUAAAUAAAAACGAGGUCGGUCAUUUUGAAAGCCUCGAUAAUUGACGUGCGUUUGUUUUCCUCCUCUCUCACUACCAAAGACGCUGGAUGAGAGAAGAGGUCUCACUCUGCGCAUUUUUCUCGGCACCUGGGGGCGUUGGCUCUAUAGCGGAAUGAACGGAGUUAGUGAACCCUCCUGUCAGUCAUUCAGUGUCUUUGUCACGAGGGGGCGCGCACACAGGUACACGUAGGCGCGCACAGGCACACAGACACAGACUUUUGGAUACAGUGCUGCAAGUGAGCGUCGUGAGUGAAAAGCAAGCAAACAGAAUGAACACGACAGCUUUGGUGUCUAAACCGAAUGCAACAGCCCAAGUGUGGGUAUAUUUCGGCUUUAAACCAGUUUUGUUUUCGUCAGCCACAAAACUCCACGUGUGUGCGCGCGUGUGUGUCUGUGUGUUGGAGGAGCACAGCAGGCUGAUGAGAGCUGUCAGAGCGGACUGAAGCUGCUCCUAUAUGUUUAGUGUUUAACUGACUGAGUUUUGAAACUCUGUUCAUCAUUUUCGUCUCGUCCCAUCAACGUAAACGCACUUUCGUCUCGUCACAUUUUAGUCAUCUCCGACUUACGUUUAGCUCGUCAACGUUACGUCUUCGUCGUGGAAGAAAAGGGAAAUAUUUUAGUCAAUAUUUCCCUUUUUUGACGCUGGCGUUGACGAAAAUAUCUGACGAAAUAUGACGAAAACAACACUGCUUUAAACCAAAUGAAAGAGGUGAGCCCACAAAUACGGACGAGACGAUAUGUCGUAUUUGUUCCAAAGUUGUGGUGACAAAGAAGGGGAAUACGACGAACUUGCACGUGCACCUCAAGCACAAUCAUCCCCUCCAUUUUUCUCAAAUGAGCAGAAAAAGUACCGCCGGAGGUACCGCUUACUGAAGCGUUUGGUAAGCAAAGCAAAUAUAAACAAAACAGCGCAAAAUGGUGCGCGCUGACAGACAGUGGAAAUUAAAGUUUAUCACUUUUGACACGGUGUACUCGCAUUAUUAUGCCAUAUAAUAUUAUCUAUAAUUUAAAAAACGGUGUCAAUAAUAUCGUUUAUCGGCGAUAAUUUGUAGCACAAUUAUCGUCCAGCAAAAUUUGUUAUCGUGACAGGCCUACUCUCAGUCCUUCUAAGUUCAAGCAUGAAUGUUUCCAAACUCAAUACUGAUGACGAACAUAAGAGUUCACUGACCUUAAAUUACUUUUUUUUAGAGCUGUUGUUCUAAUUCAAUUUGUGUUUCUUCCUGUUUUGAAAAAUUGCCUGCACUCAGAGUCAGGUACAAACAUCGGGAGUGCACUGGAGCUGGCUCAGACAGAAUCUCGCAGUGAAAUGAAAAUGAAAGGCUGGUGUCAAUUUAAUGAUAGGCAUCAAAAGACUAUAAAAGGGGAGAGACGGAAUGUUUCCCAGCCUAUUAAGUCUUAAACCAACUUUUCUUUGCUGUGCUCCAUCUAGACUGUUUGCUCUGACAGGGUUUUCACCUGAAAUAACUCUGCAUCUCCGUCUGAUAAAAGGGCAGACAUGUUGGGAUGUAUUCUACAGGCUGCAUCUGUCUCUGUGGGUGUUGAUAUGGACUUGUGCAGGUAUAACAAUGUGGCAGAAGGUACGUCUUGAGUGUGCAUCUGGCAGACCUAGGGGCUUACAAUAACAUGCCUGUGUCUACUGUUGGCAUUUCCCUGCUGUCACAGCUGCUGUCAUAACAUUGUUCCACUGUCUUUGUCCUCUCAUGGGUGAUGCCCAGGACUGUGAUGACAAACUAUUCAGCUGUCUGAUGAAGCUGCAUCUUGACUGUCACCUUUGUGCUCAUAUUUUAAAGUAGGCUUCACACUGAGAUCAAUUAUUUACAUACUUACACACACCUGAGCUUCUGGGAAUGGUGGCCAGAUUUUAAGGAUGAACAGUGAAGCAGUAAGGGAUGUCUAACCAUGACUCCUGUUCUGGUUUGUUUGCAGCUGACUUUUAUCUAAUUUGUGCACCCAGUAAAGAUUUCUCGCUUUAAAUAACUACUUCCCGUCAGACUAAUCACAAAUCUUUAAUUGUGAGAAAAAGAAAAAGAUAUUUAAAGAUGUCUGCAUCUGCUAGUUCCAGUCCCAGCCGGUGUAUCAGCCAUCAAAAUUAACCUCUUGUAUGAGCUCAAUGGUCCCACCUGCUCCACCAGGAUCUGAUUCUUUAUUACAGUGCCAUGUUUGGAACAGUAAACAACUCAGCGAAGAGCGGUCAUUCACCCAAAGUAAAAAGACAAAUAUGGGUUUGGCAUGUCUAGAUUUAAGCUAAACCACAGUGUAAAGAAGUCUCAGCGAUUAGACGGAGAGGGAGAAAGUUUCAUCAUGGAAGAAUAUAUUCAGAAAGAUUAAUUGCAUGAGUUAGUUUAUUUGAUUUUCUACUUGGAGGUACAUCUGCAAAAAGUGGUUUAUUUCACAGGCAAAUUAUUGCUCAUAUGCUGCAAGGUUUUGGAAAACCCUUCUCAUGUUUAAAAACGCAUGGUGCAGGUCAACUCUGUUAUGAUAGAGAAAAAGAAAAAGCCAUUUCCUAAUUGCAGUUCUUUAACAAGACUUGGGGAGAUGGGACUAUUACAUCCUCCGCUGUGACCUGCGUGGAGUGGUCAGACCAAACUGUAUUAAGAUGGUCUACUCAUUCAUCCAUCCAUCUUCAGCCGAGUAUCCAGAGCAGGUUGUGAGGGCAGCAGCCAAAACAGAGAAGCUCAGACUUUUCUCUCCCCAUCCACUUCGUCCAGCUCUCCCUAAGUCUACCCUCAUAGUCUACCCUUCAGAGGAUUUUGGGCUGGUGUCCCUACCCUGAUGAUGGCAUCACAUAGCAACAAGCAGCUACCCGGUCAACCAGCUGACAUAGCUACCAUCAUGUAACUUUAACAACAUUACCAACUGUUUGGAGAUCAUUUCAGAUUUCACUUAGUCUGUCUUUUAAAGCAUUUGUACAACCCAAUACUGAGUUAAAACAAAAUAGUAUAUUUAACAGGGUAUUACUCUGCAGUUUGAGAGACUGCUAUCUUGAUUGUAUUAAUGCAAACAAUCAUGGUAUAAGUGGCGCUAAGAAGGAUGCACCUAAUGCAGCCUUCACAGCCUGGGAAAAGUAGGACACUUCAUAUCAAAUGGGGCGGCCUUUGAUAUGCAGCCUUCGUAGGUCGCAGCCUGGAUUGGAAACCAGCUUUAAUAGUGAUAAACACUCUCCUUUCUUGUACUAUAGAAUGAGGUCUGCAUGUAAAGCCAACCCCAGGUUUCCCCUGAGGAGCAGAUUUUAAAAGACCAUCUCUUUUAAAGCUGGAUGUAGGUGGCCCUGAGGCGGAUAGUGGCAUAUAUCUAUCAUAAGAUAAACUCUGGGAAAUGCACACCUACAGCAGGAAUAAAGGAAAUGUAUAAAGACGUGUCUGAAUGGAGGAAAGAUUUCAAGUGGGGUACAGAAAUGUCACUGGUGCUUUCAGAGGCCUGAGUCAUCACCACGCACAUUUGAAAUCUUUUCAUAAAGAAUAUAUUACACCAAGAAUAAGACGUCAAAUGGGAUUGGUAUCUUACCCAUAUUGUUCAUCUUGCCCUCCGGGAACUCUUGGCUCUUUUAUACACGUUGUUUGGAUUUUGUCUGGGGGUCAUUGAAUUAUGGGGGCAGAGUUAAUACUAUUACACACUGAACAGAAACACAGACUCGACUGGAUCUUGCUUUAAAUCAUCUAAACGAUGACUAUCACCUCUCCCUCCUGGUCAAAAUACACAAAAUCUGACAGGCAGGCCUGACUGCAGAGAAAAGGAUUAUGGUCCAGCAGUGGAAGCCUCCUCAGUUUAUGUCAUGUAAUCACUGGCCUUGGAGCUCUUUUGACGUAUGUUACCUCAAGCCAUCAUCAGCAAAAGUCACUGAUGCAAAAAUAUUUUUUAACUUCUUCUUCCGCAGUGUGGUAAUUUGUUACACUAGGCAAAAUGACAAAACCAGAAAAAGGUAAGAAAUGUGAAAAGGUCACUGAUGAGGACAAUUCAGACAAUAUUGGCGUUUUCCUGUCUCAUAACCACCCAGUUCAUGUUGGCCCCAUAUGGGCUCAUUGUUGGCUAGAUGUGGGUGUCAAGUGGACCUGGGCUAAGUUUAUGGAUCCUAGAAGUCUUGGGCUAAAUGAGCAAAACUGGUAUCACUAUGAGGGACCUGUAGCAUAGGCCCCAUAUGGCCUACCUUGGCCCAAGAUAGAAUUUGUAAAGGCUUAUGGGCGUAGGUUGGAACGGUGAACACAAUGUGGGACCUGUAUGGGCCCACUCAACAUCCAGCAUAAUCCUCUAUAUAAGAAACACAAAUGGGUUUUUGGCAUUGGGCCAUUAUGUUGUCUUCUCUUCUUCCAUUUUUUCUACUCACUGGACGGCGAUUGUUAAGGGUCUCCUUAAAAAUUCAAAGUACUAAACCACCCAUUGUGUUGUUGAACUACUUAGAAUUAUAAUGGAAACUGACAUUUUUUGUGGCAGUGCCAGCAGAUAAAGGUGAAAUGUGAAGACUUCUCUCAACAGAUAGACUUGAUUUUUCACGAGGGAUCCGGUUGUCCCUGGCAACGCUUUGCUGUGAAGAAAUAAAACACUAUUGUUAGACGGUUUUGAAAAAUUAGAGUCAAGUAUUUAACAACCAGGUUUAAAAUGUUAUUUACUAUAGAGUUGGUUAAUGCUCACAUUGAAAACCUUGUAUUUAACCUAGAUUAUCAGGAAAUUACCCAAAUCCCAAUAUAUUCACGAAAAAAACGUUUGUCUUAAAAAGGCGAUUUUAGUCAAAGCCAAGGAGAGACAAUAGAUGUCUGAAAAACCUAUAAUCACUCUGUUCGUGAGGCUUCAAUUUCAUCCAAAGUGGAUUGUUUGUAGCUGGGAGGCAGUUAAAGAGGCAGAAACUAGGGGAACAACAGCAGAAUGUUCGAUUGAGUUGGAGGUGGGAAAAGAGAUGAAGAGACAAAUGAAGACAGAGAGGGGGAAGGACUGAAGAGAGCAGAGAUGUAUGAGUGCUGCGUUUACCGUUUUACUCAAGGGAGCGGCUGAAUAAUUGAUGAAGAAAGAUUAAUGUGAGAGGGCCGUUAAUGUGCAGCUUCAGAGCCUAUAUUAUGCCAAAUUAAAUUAAACUUUUAAUUGUAUGCUUUAAUUGCAGUACUCAUUGGAAAAUAAACCGCAGUGAGUGUAAAUAUUUGCCUCCAUACAAAAUGAGUUGGAGGAGGUUUCUUCCAGCGAUUAUGUGAAGUUUCUGCAUUAAGCGCCGUUUAAGUUUCUUUUGAAUCAACCACCUUAAUGUUUUAAAGUAACCACACUGACAUCAGUAGGCAGAGGAUCUUCAGAUUAAAUUUCAACAUUAGCAUACAAUAAACACUUUACACUAUUUAGGUCUUUGCACACCAACAAAAGCCAUGCAGAUCAGAGCCAUACAGAUUAAAUCCAUUUAUUAGUCUGGAGAUUCAGUGUUAAAAAUCCCAUGCAGCGGCCCACAGGUGGUAGAAAGCAGAGAAUCACCAAAGUCACUUGAACUUUCCCUCUCAGGGAUGGAAUUGUUUAAACCUAUGAUAUUUCCUACGGGUCUUUUUUUUAGUUUACCUAUUUAUUUAUUUAUUUAUUUUCGUCUUUCAUUAAGCACAGCAGUAAGAACAGCAGUUUUCUCCAUGGAGCACUGCUGUCCUUCAUUUGAACCCAGAAUCCUUUCAUGGAGGGGCAGCAGCCUUCACCAUUGAACUACAAGUUUGCCCGGCAGGGCUUGCUUUUGUUGGUGCUUUUUAAUUUUAUUUUCUAAUUGAUAAAGUUCAAAACCACAGAGUAGCAAGGAUGUGAGAUCAGGGUUCUUUUGUAGGUUCACAAGGUGCGACUCCACCCUGGUCUUGAACUCAGGAUCCUUUCACUGAGAAGCAUCAGCCUUCACCACUUCACUCUAAGUUAGUCAGUGCUUGCUUUUUAAAGUCCCAAUUUCUUUUUAAUUUCCUGACAGUAGAAGUUUGAAACUAUGGUUUUAACUAAAGUGAGGACAGCAUUUUCUUCUUUGCUCCUGUGUAUUGUUAGACAUCAGUGUUAUCCAUCAUACUCAGACACCAGCACACCAAUUAUAGUCCAAAUAAGUACAAUUAAGUGGAAUUCAUCAACUACAGUGAAUCCCAUGACUUACAGUUUGUGCCAUUUUUGAGACAUCAUAACCAACAUCAGUGAAAUGCAGAAAAACUGUGUUAGAACAAAUGGAAGAAUAAAGUAGAAAUACAGUAAUCCCAGUGCAAUCAUUAUUUUAGAGUUACUCCUCUGAGUUAAACCUGCACUAAAACUUUUGUGUUUUGUUUUCAUAUUGGAUUGUGAUGCUUUGUAUUGUUUGAGCUCUGCACACAGGUUGCAGAAGCUGUUGUGAGUACUUCAAAAUUUGAUUAUUGGAAUGAAACCUCAACAGGACCUCUGGUUUUAUGUUUGUUUGUUUUUUACAUUUUAUUUAUUUAUGAUUUAUCUACAUAUGUUAUGUUUUCAUGAUUUGUGGUGGGGUCUAAAUCCUUAUUGUUCUAAGAACACCAAAAUAGACACUCAGAUUAAAAUAUUAGGGGUGCAGUAUAAAUACGCAGUGUGAUAUAUAUCAGCUCAAAUAAUGGAAUAUUUUACCCUUAGUAAUUAGAUUAGAUAGAACUUUAUUGAUCCUCUUGGGAAGGUUCCCUUAGGAAAAUUAAAUGGUAAAAUAACUUCAACGACAUGAAUCUAUCUCCAACAAAAAGAACAAUUAAAGUUGAAUUCAGUAAUGAGCGGACACAUUUCCAUACAUUAAGUGGUGGUAGACUUUCUGCCUUUAAGCAGCAGCAGGGAAGAAUGAGAGCAGCUGCAACAAGCAGGUAAAUGUGUAAAAAUGGCCUCACCCAUGUGGAUACUACUCACUCUUUUAAGGGAGGACAUAUCUUGAUCGGUAUUUAUGUAAUGUGUCACAAGUACUCAGAGAGGAGUAAAAAGCUCCACACAACAAUGAGAUUCAGCGGUGAAGAGUUGUCAUCCUUACAAAGACGUUUUGAAGAGAGCAGAGGAAGCAGCAGGAGCGCUUGGUGACUCACCUCUCUCCAAAGGAGAAGAUCAAUGAUUUUACCAGCUGAUGACAUAGCUGGAGCAGUAUCUUGAGUCACCACCGUUUUGCAGAUGUACACCUGCCCUAUAUGUGAUCUCAACAAAGUCCCAGUCUGAUCCACCGCAGCAUGAGUGAUGGGUUUUACACUGAACAGAUGGACUUUGAUGCUACUCCGGUGAGUAAGCGUAGUUUGACAGGCCAGGGGCUUGAAGAAGACUGGAACAUGAGAAAACAUUAUAGCCUGCACAGGAGUUGAACAGUUCUCUGGAAAAAAAAGAGAUUUUAACAAUUGUAGUCAGAACUUUUUAUUGUUAUUUUUGUGUAUCAACGAAAGUGAUUUCUGUUAGAAUUGGUAUAUCCAGUGGAAAGCAUCAUCAUCUGCGUCGCAGUCUCGUAAGACCAUUGAUUCCUUGUGCCUAAGAGUUAGGCGUUAAGGCAGCGUCUCCUUUGGCUGUGGAGGCCAAUGUGUGAGAGGCAGAUGUCACAGGUGUAGACCGGUCCCGAAGAUGUUGAUGGUGUGAUGGAGCCCUGCUGUUUCUUUCUCUUCACUCUCUUCACUUCCUAGUGUUCAGCCAGAGUGUUCUCAGACUUCAGCAGUCCACUGUGGAGUGCCUGUUGCCACUGGAGCUGGUCCUGAGCCACAUCUUCCCAGUUGACGGGCUGAUGUUGAGCGUCCUAAGGUCUUGCUUACAGACAUCCUUGUAGCGUCGCUGGGGGCAUCCAAUCUGCCUCUUGCCGGAUGUUAGCUCUGCAUAGAGGAUAUCCUUUGGCAUCCGUCCGUCGUCCAUCCAACAGACAUGGCCCAGCCAGCAAAGUCGUCUCUGCCUCAGUAUAGAUUGCAUGCUGGGGAGCUGUGCUUUCUCCAGGACUGCCUGGUUAGUGAUCCUGUCCCUCCAGGUGAUGCCCAGUAUACGUCCGAGGCAGCAGAGGUAGAAACUGCUUAGCCUCCGCUCCUGGUGGGAGUAUAAGGUCCAGGUUUCGCUACCGUACAGGAGAGUCCUGAUGAUGCAGGCUCUGCAAACCUGCACCUUAGUGUGGACUGUGAGCUUGUUGUUGUCCCAUACCCUUGCUGUUAGCUUCAAGAAGGUUGAGGCAUGUAUAUGUGGAAAGCAUAUACAUCGUGCAUAUAUACACUUACACACACACAAGAAAUUAUUGAAAUUAUUAAAAACGGGUAACCUCAUCAGUUUAGGCCAUCAAGAGCUUCUCAUUGGUUGUCAGUGGUGGCCAUUUUAAAAACACUAUCAAUUGAUUAUCUAGACUCCUACACUAAAUAAGUACUAUGCAAUGUUGCAUUAUUAUUAAGUGAUAAAAGUUUAGCAGCUCUGAGUUUCGUUACAGUCACUGCAAACUUCCAGAAAAGUCAAAGUCAUCCUGGAAGAGAUUGGGCUUUUGGGUGAACUGUAAGAAGAACGAGCAGAGGAGGGGUGGAGGCAUUAUUUAGGCUGUUUUCUGUUGGUAUGUGAGUGUGUUUGUGUGUGACUGGAUGUCUUGCUGUUGAAUUGGCCAUUUUCUGUUGAUUAUGUGACUCCAUUCACAGAGUGACUGAAUGGCACGACUAGCCGGGAACCAGUGACACUGUGUGUGAAAAAUGACUUGUAAUAGGCUAUUACUGCACAAGAGCUGCUCGUCUCCUGCAGUCUGCCUCUGGGAUCUUUACUGCCACAGGACAGAAUACAGAGCAUAGAAAGAGAGGAAGAUUGAGAUUGAUUGACUGGCAGAAAGAGGUAAAGAUGCAGGGAAUCAGACCUGGACAAAAAGGCUCCAGAGAGCUAAAGUGAAGUACAUGAGGUCAGGGGGAUCAUAUCACCCUCAACAGCCAAAAAAAAGGCCUUUGCUGGAACAUGAACAAAACAUUAGAGGGCUUUAUCCACCUCCAUGCCCAUGCUUCGCCUCUAUGCAGGGGAAAACACUCACACAGAAUUUCCUGCAGGUGAAAUCUAACAACUCUUUUGAAAAUACUCAGACUGCACUGAUUAUAAUCCAGGUGAAAACAACGAGAAUUUAUCCCAGCCCCUCAUAUUUUCUUAGCAAUUUGUUGCGAUGAAUAUCUUACUUGUUCUUCACUAGAUAUUUUCUGGGACUCUGGAAUUACCCAAAAGAUAAAUAACUCAUACAACACAACACAACACAAUACAAGAACUUUAUUGAUUCCCAGAAAAAGAAAUUCAUCGGAGCAGAAGUAAGACGACUACCUGACUUUAGAAGAGGAAUGAAAGAAAUAUGGCACUUAAAGGAAAGAAGCUUGUGCAGAGAGAAAGAAAACUCGUACAGAGAGAGAGAGAGAGAGAGAGAGAGAGAGAGGAAAAAGUUAAAAUUCCUCCUCAUCAACGCCCAGAAGACAGUGGAGAUGAUCAUGGAAAGCCACAGCCCCCCUGCCCUCUCUUGACCUCACCGACUCCGCAAUCACCACUGUGGACUGUUACCGCUUCCUCUGCACUACCAUCACCACCAGGACCUCAAGUGGGAGCCAACCAUCAGCUCCCUCAUCAAGAAGGCCCAGCAGAGGAUGUACUCCUGCCGGUCCAGCUGAUGGUGCAGUUCUACACGGCCAUCAUCGAGUCCAUCCUCAGCUCCUCCAUCGUGGUGUGGUACGCCGGGCCACUGCCAGGGACAGACACAGAGUGCAGCGCAUUGUGGGCUCUGCUGAGGAGGUGAUCGGCUGUAGCCUUCCAUCUCUCCAUGACCUGUACGUAUCCAGAACCCGGGGCCGAGCAGGUCGGAUCACAGCUGAUCCAUGGACUAUUUGACCAGAACCUCCUGCCAUGAGAACAGUUUCUUCCCCUCUGCCGUUGGACUCACGAACACUUUAUAACUCUGUCACUUUAUCACUGGUCACUUUAGUUACUUUCGAUUUUUAACCGCACUCCUCCCAUCGCACUUUUGUUCUGUAUUGUGUAGUUGUACAUAGCCUUUUAUACUUCAUAUUUUUCUUGCAUGCUCUUAUUUGUUUUAUUCUAGUAUUUUAUAUUACUCUCUGUUUAAUGUUGCACCAUCAUGCCGAAACAGAUUCCUAGUCUGUGAAUCCUGUUCAUCGACAAUGGCAAUAAAACCCCUUCUGAGUUCUAAAUCCCCCCUCUCAGUUCUGAUUUAAGUAAAUGUCAAUUCAAGCGCACAUAUAAACUGUAAUACUUUUGAUUGGAGUUGAAAUGUCCAUUGACUUCUGCCAGGUUGAAAUGGCUGAUUUUGGUGUGCCACUUGCGCACAGCGGUCAAAUUGCUUCUCUGAAGUACAGGGAAUAAAGUCCACAGAGCAGGUGAUUCAGGACCAAAUCCAAACUAUUACCCUGUGGUCCACCCCAACCCUCUUUUUCCUCUUAGUUCUCACUCUAUCCACUGUCCUGCCCUCUAAAUCAGGACCUUAAAGACCUCCCAAAGAAAUCAUACAGCUGUCUGAAAAUGGCAUGAAACCACUUACCUGGAAGCCAAGAUGAUGAUGACAGAGCGCUGCUGAGCCAAGCAGGAACAAAAGCAGCUGAUAGUGGAGACAGUUUAAAAAAGGGAAGUGUUAUUUGGCGUAAAGGCUUGUAGGAGAAGAAGUCCUGAUUAUUUCCUGUAGGAACCAUGUUGUUGACUGGAGAACUCCCAACUCUGGGUGAUUAUGAAAUGCUCCUGGUUCAAGCAACAGUACAAAAGAGGUAAUUGCAGUAAAUUACGACAUGGAUGUCGGAGUGUUUGCUGGUCAGCCCAGGAUAAAUACAAUCAGCGCUUUUUGGAUGGUUUCAGUCGAUUUCAUACUGAUAUUUUGCAAGACAUAAUUUUCCAUCAGCCACCAUUGUGUUUGGUGCUAAAUUUGUCAAAAUUACAGGCACAUGAAAAAUGAUAAGCCUGUGAGCACCCAUAAUACCAUCUAAUGUUACAUGGUUACAUUUUGGGCGCACCCUGUGGACAAAGCAGUGUUUGUGUGUCUCAUGCAUGUAGUAGUCUCCUCUAACAAAAAAAACCGCAAAAACACUUUCUUCAGCUGCUCAGCCGACCCUCUGCUCCUGUUUAAAAAUUCAGCUUUAAAAUGGUCUUUGUUAUUGUGAAGGGUCUCUUUUGCUUCUAUCAAUCAUAAAUAGGCAUCAAUUUGAAUUUUGUUUUAUUUUAUACGCAGCUGGAGCUUUAAAGCCAGCAUGUCAGCAGCUGUGUCACAUGUAGUAUUUCAUUUUCCUGCUUCCCCAAAGAUAAUGAUAAGUAACUUGGGGGUCAGGGGCAUUCAUGGAUGGCCAAACUGGGUCACUGACUUAUGUAGGGUGGUAGUAGAUACACAGUUUUUCACACUAUUAACAAAAAACAUUUUAGUUUAUUCAAAGUCAUAUAAAAUGCCAAAAUAUUUUGAAAAAACUCAGACUUAUAGCUCUUAUUCAAGGGGCUAAAAUCGCACCUUACUUCUACUUAAUACAACAUUUUCAUUAAAUACAACAGUUGGUCCACAAAAACGCCUUUUUUAAAACCAUAAAUGUUGUCACAGACUACAGCAAUGUAUCAAACAGUCCGUGCUGCAGGACUAAACAAAUUUCUUUCAUUAAAAAAAGGAGGUUCAAUAUUUCGGUACAGAAGUCAAUAUAGAAGUCUCUGGUUUUAUUACCCAGAAACCCAGUUGAAGCUGAAGAGCAGUAACAAGGACUUUAAACAGCAAUUUCCUCAACAACCGUGUUACUCUGAUUCUUUGCACUUCUCUAAUCUUAAGAUGCUUGCUGAAGAUUGUACUGCAAAGCCCUCUCAAUGUACUUUCUGAGUGUUUGCAAACAGCCCCAGGUGAAUUAGAAAGUUGAUAGUCGAGAUAAUGUUUCAGAUAAGAGUGUGUGUGUUUGAAAGUAAAGUUAAACUCAGCACACUGAGGAAUAAUAAGAACACUGACCAUCCGGUGCUUGAAGAGAAAAUCCUCUGAGAGUCUGUUCAGUCUAAUGCUACCUUAACAGCCCCCUGAGAAGCACGUGAUACCUCACAUCUGACUUUUACCUCGCUAAAAAGAAAUUGUUUUGGACCAGCGAGGUGCUUGUGCAGAGACAAUUUUCUGUCUUUAAAAGGAACAAACAAUAACCAAUCCAAAGUCAUGCUGGGAAAUCCAACUGAAGUGGUCAAAGAGCCCAAUUCACAAAUGGUUCUGGCCUGCUGGCUCCAAUCUGGAAACAAUAAGAGCUUUGGAAGAGCACCUCACCCUCUGCUGGUGCUAGUUUUCACAGCCUGCCCUCACCACACUCAAUAGUUUCUUUUUAGGUUGAUUUGCUCUUUGAAACUUGUCGAGUUAGAGUGUUUUAACAUUGAUUUACUGUGCUUUUUGCCUCUGUGAAAUGACUUACUUAUUCCCAUGCAAGCUAUAACCCUUUAUAAAAAGACAUAACAGUCUGUCAAGCAUCUUAGUCUUUUAAAGUCUUCCACUCAUACAUUUCACAUUUCUCUAUUAUUUUGAGGGAGAAAACUUUGGAUUGGGUCAGCAGAACUCACAUGACCAAACUGUAAAAGGCACAAGAUUGUUUGUUGAUGCUCUCUGGUUAGAUAGAUAGUCGAUGAGGUUAAGUGGACUUACAGUUAUCUGAAUUCUGUGCACAGUGUAUGAAUUAUACUGUGAUAAAAUGUCACAUAUGAGUGUGCUAAUAGGUGCAUAAAUCAGUAAAUUUUGCUUUCAUGCUCAUUCGUGAUGUAAUUGUUGAUAUUUAAGGUUUGGUUAAAGGAGUGCUAUCAUGCUUUUCCACAUUUACAACAAAAAAUGCAAAGCUACAAUGUUUGGUGUUUGGACUAGACGUAUGCAGAGUUUAAAAUCAUUAGGUAAACAUAUGUUGUCAUAAUCCUAGAAACCUGAGAACAGCACCCUCUGGUGACGGGCUGCAGUAUAGGUCAUAAAUCCUGCCUCCUCCAGCAGUCCCUAUGGGGUUGUGGACAAACUUUAGAAUUUAAUUACACAGAAUAUAAUUUUUUCUCCUCCCUGGUUGUGAUGUUGACAUGUAGUUACUUUGAGACUGGUUUGUGCUCAAGUCCUCUUUUUUCUGUGCAGCUCUAUUUCUAAAAGUCAUUAGGGGGUUCAUGUUUUCUAUGAUUGACACUUGAUACAGCCUAUGGGCGUAUGAAGAUUGCGUAGAUAAUCCCGAGGAUAUGCUGUUUAAGCAGAGCGUCAUUGCAGCGACUCUCCCGUGUGACACUACUGUGCAUAUGCUGGUUUUAGUAAAUGUAGAAAGUCCUGGAAAUACUAAGAGCAAUUUGGCUUCAAAUUCGUGCAAUGGUUUAAUGAAGCCACGAUGUCCAUACUAUAUACAGUCUAUAGGUGACACAUUUGACACCCAUUGGCACCUCUGAAAAGGUGGCAAAUCAGAAGAAAGUAGGCUCAUGAAGCGAGGGGCCUUAAAGAGACGGCAGCUAAUUGAAGCGUUUAUAAAGCUCUUCUUAAACGGUCUGAAAUGUAUGCACUGGAGGUCAUGGAGCAAUAUGAAUGAAGCCACAUUCAACCACAUUUUGUCGGAGCAUUUCUUUCUGAUUGGAUAACCUGUCUCAGGUCUCAUGGCAUCUGCUCAUUUUUCUUUGUACUUGUGCUCAUGGUACAUGUUUUCAAUAAGAAAUGAAACCAUUAAACGUCGGUCACAGUGAGCAGCAUUUUCCCUGCCUGCAGAGAGCAUGUCUCACAGAGUCGUGAGUGCUUGCUGCAGCAAAAGUGAGAUUCUUAAUGGCAAACCCUCAGAGCUGCCCCAUUUAGAAACAGCAGUAUUACCUGGUAAUAAGCGUCAACUCCUUAGUCUGUCUGCCUACCACCUUUCCCACUAAUGUACUCUCACAAUAAGCACUGCAUGCUUACUGCAAGGUGUUGAUUUCUUUUCCUCAAGAAAGAAAACUUUAAUUUAUUUUUUACAUAGGAAGUUUGAGAGUAAAAUACUCGCUCUGCAAUCUGGAACUCAAUGCAAUUAAUUGUUUUUCAAAACUUGAGCUGAACAGUCUUAUUAAAUAUCUUAAUACAUCUUUACAGAGAAAAUGUCCUCUGCUUUUAAAUCUUUAAAAGCAAAAUAUAAUUAAGGAUUUAAUUAUUCCCAACAAUGUGUUUACUCAGAUUAUGCAGCAGCUUUUUAAUGUUAAAAAAAGCAAUUUGAUUAAUAAUCCUCCAGCAAGUAAGCUAUUAAAUAAAUACGCCCUGAGACUUCCCUCCUCAGGAACCAUCCACUCAGUUUGGAUUGUUACUCUAUGUAUUUAUAUGUUGCCAAAGGCCAGCGUUUGCAAUAAAUGAAAGGGCACCAGCACAAAUUUUCCAUCAUGCAUCAUUCUUGUCUUCUGAUGCCACAAAAAUAAGUCAUGUCACUCACAUUUUCUAUUUUUUAUUCCACGAAUAUUUCAAAUGUUGGCAGAGGGAAAGAGAAAGGAGGGUGAGGGGGAUGAAGAAAAGGCAGUUUUAGUCUAAGUCUCACAGGAAAACUUCAAGUAGCACUUUAUACAACUAGCAUGCUGUAAUGGACUAAAAUCUACAAUUUCACAAAGGAUCUUAAAACAAGAACCUCUGCAAGUGUAGAAACAAAUUCCAAUUCCAAAAGCUUUACAGAAAAUUACAGAAAAAAGUGUUUCUUUUAUUAUUUUCAUGUUCCUUUUUCAUUUACAUAUCUAUCUUUGUCUCUUGUUUUCAAAAAUCUGCCAAUCAGAAAACUGAAGACAGUCACUUGUUCACAAACCAAUCACAGGAACCUCCUCUGUGUGCCAAUCAUCAUGUUGCUGUUAGAUUUAGUUCUCCUGCUGCAAUCCUCCGACAAUUCAGAGCAACACUGAUGAAGUUCUCUCCGUCGUUAAAGUCGAGUUUUCAUCACAACCAGGAUCCACUUUUUUCUUUUUUUUUUUUAAACUGAACUCAUUAAAAGUCAAACAUGAUGUGGGACACAUCUGCAGCAUCAGUAAUUGCUCUUCAGCCCUUUGCCAACAAGGCAACAAGGAAGGAAGGAAGGAAAAGAGGAAGACAGAGAGGAAAGGAGGGAGAAAGAAAGGAAAGAUUAAGGGAAUCCUUAAUAUAGAAAGCUCAAGUGUAUGUGAAGAGUCUUGUUUGUAAGCUGCAAAAAAUGAACACAGUUGAAAGCCAGUGCAAUACGAUAAAAGUAGAAUGUACGUAUGUCCAUCUAAAGCAGUACGAUAAAAGUCGAGCAACAGCAAUCAGGAUGCGAAGUAAAAGUCUGAGUGUUGAUCUUUUUAUGCAGAUACCAAGAGAUUUGCAUUAGUCCAGACCAAGUGAGUAAAAAACAAAAGAAAUACACCAGCACCCCUUUUUUCAGUUAUUCCCAAAGACCAUGUCAGUGUCCUAAAGUGGUUUUAUAAAGCCAUGGUUAGGUCCUGAUUGUAAUGCUCUGAGAUUAUGCCUCUCCUUGAUUUCAAGUUUCUGAAUAAAUCAAAUGGAGUUUAAUCUGCAUCUAAUGUCAUGAAGUUAUUCCCCAUCAAGUUCAUACAAGUUCAUUUUAGGUUUGCCUGCUUAAAAACUGUGGGACAUGUUGCUGAAACGACUGAAAUGUGUCCAGCUUUGGAAAUUGAAAAUACAGGGGUCUCAGAGAAGAUCCCUGAGGGAGGCCACAUGACAAGAAAGUAGUUUCUGACCCAGUUCCUCUAAAGAGAAUGAGUUAAUGCUACUUCAAAAGGAGGAAACCUCUCCAAUAUAGUCUCAGUUAUGCCAACCAUAUGUCUGUCUCAGCUUGUAUAUUUAAAUAUGCUGAUCAGCACCAGCUGAGGUCGACUAGCCAUCUGGAUGUUCUGGAGAGUCACAGAAAAGCUGGGAGAUCCACAACUACACUUACCCAGACAUCCACAUAAACACGGUGCUGUUCUGCCUGCUGGCUCAGCUUUUUCACAUCUCUCCACCUGAGGGGGUGGGGCACAGGGAAGUGGAAAUGAUCGCUACGGCAUUGGCUGAAAAUUGUGAAGAGCGCAGCACCAUCUGGUGUUAAAAGCAAGUAACUACAAAAAUAAUGCGCAGGCUCCUCCCACUGCUCUGGGAGGUGCAGGGCCUGUCGGGCAUCACGUUGUGAGGUUUACUUGAGGUCGCGACAGCGCAGACCCAAAAUUGUAUAGAGCGCAGAGCACCGCCUGACGGGCAAUUUGCACCACAUUCGGAACGGCUACGAAAAGGGCGUGUCCGCCGAUCGUAGCUGAUCGUAACCAUUUAAGUUGAUGUGUCAGUUUCCACCGGCUUCUUUCCGUUCCGCUGUUGAUCGCCGGACGCCGGAGCAUGCCGGAUAAAUUCAGCACAGAUUAACCCGUGCUGGAAAGGAAGUCGGGCACAGACACAAAAUAAAACAUCCGGCUUCUUUUCAAAAUAAAACACUGUGCUUCAGGCAGAUCGUAUUUCACACCAUGCAAGACAAACAGGUGAAAGGUUUUUAGACAGCAUUUCAUCUUGAUGACACCAUGAAUGAGGAGAUGCUGAUUUCUCUAGAAGUCUAGAAGUCGAUUUCCUCCUCUGGAAGGACACAAUCUACUGCUCAUAUGGUUAGCCUAUGUGGCUAAAGACAACUUGAUAUCGUGCGAUUGCAUGUGAAUCUGCGGGUUCUUGUGAAUUCUCGGGAUUCCUUCUGUCCGUUAAAUGCCACGAAAUUCUCCUCACAAAUUUAAAUAAGGUUACUGGGCUGCAAACACAUAACCAGUUAAAGAGAUAUCUCUAUUUUUUUAGGUGAGAUUUUAUGAGUUACAUGGCUUUACUAAGUGUGUUAGCCACCAGAUUGACCCCUUGACUGAGAAGCUGGCAGUAGAAACAGGGCGCUACAUAAGCUAAUGUCUCUCAAAAAGCUAAUUUUGAGUGACUAGCAUACUGGACUUCCUGUUUAUAGCAAGGGUUUCCAAUCAAAGAGGCAGAACUGACUGGCAUCCAUUGUGGCUUGUCCACAUGUUAGUCACAUGAAACUCAUUCAACCUUACUUCAAAACACCUGAAAUAUCCGUUUCGCAUCCUGGUUACCGUGAUGAGUAGAGUUGAAGUCAUUGUGCCACCACUGAAAGAGCUUUUGUGUUUCCAUGCACUGAUGGAUGACGGCUGGACUGUGUCAGAGUAUCGCGCUGUCUGUUAGGCUUAGUCUGCCAUAGUGAAUGCUGCUAUGACAUAAAAGCAGCAGCGAACCUAAAGGCUCAAGGCUCCUCUGGGGACAUAUUUCACAUCAGCAGGAAUGUGGAACAGAGUAGGUGUAUGUGAAUAUUAUCAUAAAUAAUCCUCCAGCAUGAUUGUAACUAUCUAAGGCUAUAUAAUCCAAUAAAUCAAGUGCUAAUGUAUUGCCGUUAAGGUGCAUCUAUCAAUGAGACGUCUAACAUCUUAGCUGAAGUCGUCUUUAACAAACACGCUUUGUCUAAUCACCAAAAAACUGCAUCAGCUGAACGCUCACAACUCAAACUUUAGGCUGAGCAGUAAAUAAACACAACAAUGAUGAAUGAGGCUGCAAGAAUCCGUCUCUCAUUUGACACGUUGCUGUAGAGAAACUUAAUGUUCUACUGAAAGACUAACUUAUUUAUAACAAUGACAAACCUGUUAUAUCACACCAUCCUUCUUCCUCAUCAUAAGGAAGAGGACGCAGUGACAAGAAGGGAAGAGAAUACAAAUUAGCACUGCUCAGAAUACUGCAGGACAAACUGAUGUUAAUUGUGAUGAAUUAUGUGCAUGAGGCCCUUAAACAAUCUGGAAAGGAAAUUCACAGAUGGCUUGCGGCAGACUUUACGCCUGACUUCUGCACUUCCUAGCCUUGUGAACUUGCUCAUUAUUUACUGUGGCUGACACCCAGGACGACUUCAAGAGUUGGGCAAGAGGAUGAGAGUGAGAGGAGCUGUAAAGGUGGGGGAGAACAAAGGGUACAGAUGUUUAACACUGGAGACUGAAGAUUUGUCGUGAAGAUGUCAUGCAUCUAAAAAACCAUGGAAAUGGAAACGACUAGAACAAGGCCAAAGAUUUGGCACAGACUAAAGAUUUUUACAAGCUUAACAGUUUAUGAAAAGAUGAGAGACUCAGCAGUGAUCAUUAUAACAAACAAUAAUAACAGAUUUAACAGGUUUAUUCUCAUGGUCUGAGGAGUGCAAUGAGAAGGCAAGUUUUUAGCAGAUCCUCUUUACAAUGUGUCCUGAUUCUCAAGACUAGAAGUCUCACUAACAUUAUUCAAGGUCACAUGUGAAUCUAGGGUGAAAAAACAUUACUCGCCGCUUAGCUUUCUGGUACAUCUGUCGUAGCAGGAAUUUUUGUAAACUGCGUUUCCAUGUCAGUGAUACGUUUUAUAGGACACACUCAUGUUGUAGUCACAAAUCAACAAGCCAGUCCUCCAUUUAAUUAUCCACUUAAAGAGUUAUUUCAGUGUAAAAUUUAGUUAAGGUCAAACACACCAGAACACUGAGUUAGACACCUCGAGAGAUGAAUUUUGCCGACUGCUCGCUUCUCUAGUUAUACCAACUUUAGUAACGACCGCACGAUAGCAAUACACAGCGGUCACAGGAGCCACGUGCAUUACUUCAUGGAAAUGUAAUCAGACCGAGACACUAAGGCAGAAAAACUACAGCGUCUGCAUUGCAAAAUGAUGAUUAUUACCUUAAGGAAAUGAUUCGCUGCACUCGGUGAUGGACUUGUCAGGGCUCCCUCACAAAUAAGCGGCUGCCGGAGGAGAGUAGGUGAGUUGUGUUUAGUCUCUUUGCUAAAGAAAUCAGGCAAAGCUAAAAGAUGUUUGAUGGCUAGUACUAUGGCUGGGACCCUAUAUGUCCUGUUGAUGAAGUUAGGCGCUGUUCUGAGCAUUAUUUUUGGUUAUAGAGUGGCUUUUUGGUUGAGCGCGUGGGUCCUUAGACUGCUGUUUAUUGCUAUCUUGAGGUCAUUACUAAAGUUGGUAUAACUAGAGAAGCAUGCAGUCAGCAACAUUCAUCUCUCGACGGGGUGUCUAACUUGGUGUUACAGUGUGUUUGACCCUAACUCAAUUUUACACCGGAAAUGUCCAUUUGAUGUCCCCCAUAGUCUUCCAUAUCUGCUGUUGUGCUACAAGACAGAGUGCAAGUUGUGCAGGGAAAUCAAAGACAUAUUAGCUGAUGUAUUCAGAGCAAUGAUGUGACUCCGGCCAGUGCAAAGUAGCACGACCACCAGCUAACUACCCCUGGCACCGGUUUGGUUGAAAAGAGGUAUAAGUCCAUGCUCUGUCCCCCUAAACACAACAUGAUUUCUGAUCUUGAGUACUAAAUGUUCAAUAUCUGCAGUUUUAAACCACGGUGGCCCUGAUCAUCCUGCAAGCAAAGAGAGAGAUGUAAAUCAACUCCUUACAUACCUCACACUAAAUCUGGUAACAUCAUCCGUCAGGGGAGGUAAUCAAGCCCAAAUUUGGCGGUAUAAUCUUGUUGUGUUUACCCCGCUUAACAGAAAUCAAAUAAAGUUGGCAAGAUUCCAUCACAGUUCUGAGGCAUGUGCAGGAGGCUUCAAAAUGGUUCUCUGCUCAGUGCUGCACAGACUUUCAAACUGACUGCAAAUUAUACGCACAUCCAACGCUGUGUGACAAGUUGUGUGUUCCCUAACAGUGACGACUGUGAUCUUAAAAGAUAGUUGUACUCCCAUUAAUCCUGGUUUCUGUUGACACUCUUCUUUCUCUGUGCCCGUUUCUCUGCACACUUCUGUCAAUGUCACCGCUGACUCCAAGCUUGGCGGGAGGAAACAUGCACCCAACACAGGCAAUGUCCCCGACACAAGCAACGUGCCCACUCUCUUUUCUGAAUUAAUCUCUUGAAAGGACGUUUCAAAGGAAAGUGAAAGUGUCUGCUUUCUCAUGUGCACCUCAAAGACGCAAUAACUGCGGUGUCCCUUCAGGAUUUGUGUCCAUAUUUGAUAAUCCUGCUCACACUUUAAAUCUAAUGUCAGUCUUAUUUCUUACCUUUUUACUCUAUUGCCUCUUCUGAAAUAACCAUUUAAUGUAUCAGCCUAAAGUAAUUAUUUCCUCAGGUCUGCUCUUCACUCUCUACACUUUGUCGGAGAGAUUUGUAAAGACAAGAUGUUCUCCAUUCUUCCUGUGAAGAGUUUUUGUGUAAAUGAGGACAUAAAUAUGCUAAUACAAACAGCACCUUUGCUGCAGCAUCAUAUUUAAAGCAAACAUGGAGUGCAUUUUAUUGAGGAGCAACAGCUGGAGACACAAUAUUUAUGCCACAGCAGGAAUCAAAGACUGUAAUCAUUGAUCAAAACAUGCGCAGAAUAUGUUACCUUUUUGUCACAGUUUUGUUAUAUUUUCUUUAGUUAGUAGUUUUUGGUUUGUUCGUUUUUCUGAAAAAAGAGGCAGCGACUACCGUUAACUGUUGGAUUAAAGGUUGGAGGCCUCAGGAUGAAUCCCUCCAACACUGGGAUGACUGCUGUGCUUCAUUGUUUCUGUAGAAAAUCAAUCACCCUGUGUGAAGCAUGAACCCCGCUUUAUACAUGUAGCUAUUUCAAAUGGCCUUCUGUGAGUUCAAUAUGUCAGAGUUUGGUCAAACCAGCGACAAAUACACAAGGUGACCAAGAAUGAUCAUUUUCCUUUCCCUAACUAUAAACAAAUAUCACGUUAAUCCAUCCAGAUCAUUUGAAAGAUUUGGUUUUCUUAAACAAAAUCAAAUGUUUUUCCUUAACAUCUACAGCAAAACAUGAACAGGAAAAUAUUUGAACAGCUUUACUCGUGUGUCAGUCAGAAUAUUAAUAGUCGGCAGGUAAAGAAAUAGUUGUUUCAGUAUCAUUUAUGUUUCAGAGGUAAACCUUAAGUGAGCUUUUUGAAAGUACCAAACAUGAUUGACCUACAUAGAAAAAAAAAUAUUAACUUCUGCUGUGAGGAGGUCCAAACAAAAUGGAACUCCUGGUGCUGCUCCAGAGAGUUUCUGUGUGCCAAAGACAAAAACAAAGGGCACUCUCUCUGUGAUUUGAUUUAUUUAUUUAUUUAUUUUAUUUUAAUUUUUAUUUUUAAUGUACAAUGCAGUUUUAGUCAUUUAUCCUGUUUUUGUAAAGCCUUGUUUUUGCUUUUAUUUCAGUUAACAAAAAUGUUUUGGACAUUUUAGUUUUUAUGAUUUGGUUUGUUUUUGUUAACGAUAAUGAUCUUGCUGCCAACUAGCAUUUAGAUGGAGCCUUGCAGUGAGUUUAUAUAAGUGGACAAAAUACAAAAAGGUUAAUUUAAUGUUGUUGAAGUGCAUUGGAGAUUUGACUUGAGCUCAGUUUACACAGGUGCAAAUGAAAAAUGGACUCAAAUCUUGUCAAAACUGUCAUGGAAAUUUGUCAUUGGCUCUUUCUGACACUCUAAUGUCAGAGGACUGGGUCUUGAGUCUUUAUCAACAAUGCAGAGUAAUUCCUAAGAGACCUACGUGGUAUCAGUCUGUGUUGCUCAGUUUUUGUGUUUCUUGGGCUUGAAAGUUAUUGAGAAAUGUUCACCGUAAUUAACUGUAAACUAAAAGUAAAAUAUAGUUUUUUUUAAAACACACUUAAAAAUUAGUCCAAAUUUGUUGCUUGACAGUAAUGUCCGACUUCUGUGUCAACUAUAAUUCAUGCUUCAACUAUAAAACAUAAACAAACCAGUUUAAUAUUGAUCUGUAUCAGCUGUACAGUUUUAUUCAUCAUAAUGUGGAUAAUCACACCUCUAUGGUUCAGUUUUAAUUCUUUCAUGGCCUUCAGUAAAACUCCCGCUACACGAGCACCUCUGUACGUCUUGUACUCGGAGCUGGUUUGUGGAGGAGUGCUUCUCUCAUUUGUUGACAAUAAAAUGGGCAGUAAUUUCCUCACAGGUAUUCCCUGACCUGUGAAGUUCACCCAUUGCAGGUAAUUGCAAGUCUCCCUGCAGACUUAAGUGCAUCCUCUAUCAUAUUUUGGAACUUCCUAUCCCGUUGUCUGAGAUUUUAUGUUGUCUUCUCCUUCAGCCAAUGAGCUUCCAUCUACGUUACCCUCUAACUCGAUUGAUGUACUCUUUAAUUUACAGUAUUGAUAUAAGGUGCAGGUGAAUGUUAAAUGUAUUACAGGAGUCAGCACAGACACGUAUUUGUGAAUGUGUUUUAUAGGUAUCUAGUUGAGCUAAAUUGUUUUUGUGACUAGCAGCUGAAUAAAUGAUGAGAUUGCAUUGUGGUGUAUUGCGUUCUGCUCCUCCUGCUCUCCACACACAGUUUUCCUGCAUACGGACAAAGCUUGUUGAAUUGUUGGUAGAAAAUCUCCCCCCUUGUGCUACAAAUGGAAGUCAUUACAGCUCUGGUACUAAACUCAAAGCUUUUAGGAGAUGAGUGCAAAAAUAAGAUCAAUUAUUUUGUGAUUGCGAAGCGAGGGAAGUUACUUACUGCGUAGAGGUGCAGUUCGUUCAUUUGGCACGGACGUUAACUUGGAUUUCAGCUCGAAAAAGGGUGAAUAGUAGGUGAAAGGGUAGAGAAAGCAGAGGGAGACAACAACUGCUGAUAGAAAAGAAGAUACGAGAAAACAAAAGGUCACCUGCAAUUACUGUGUAGGAAAGAAAAUAAUGUCUUACAUAUUUCUUCAGUCAAGUGUGUCCCUGUGUACUUUUCUUUAUUUAUGCAAUUUACACCAACUCAUCAGGCAUCGAGGCAACCCACUGAUCCAUGAAGGCUGAAUUAAUUUUGUUCUCUAUAGGCACACUCCAAACUUGUGUGGGUGUUCUUCUGUCAGCUCUCUCCUACAGACUUAUUGUUGUGUUGCUGUGGAGCACAUGUAUGUAGGACUCAAUAUUACAAGGUAAUUCAAAGCACUCCUGUUAAUGUCAAGGAUGUCACGAGACUUUAAGUGUAUUAGAUGCAAAAUGCUUGUGCCAGCUUAAGGUCAUCACAGCUACAUGCAGUGGUUUCUAUCGGACUGUUUAUGCAUUCAUAACUGCAAGAAUAGAUUUAGGCUGGAGCCUCUCUCAUGAAAAGAAAGGCUGUUGUGAUUAUUUGUUCAACACUUUUUCAUUUCUGUCUUCCUCCCAGAUACAAACAGAGAUGCGAUUAUUGUUUAACCCGUACCUUAGUCGUAGAUGAGAGAACAUUCUCUCAGGAGGUCUUCAGUUUUUACUCCACAAAGCACCAAAUCAAGACAAAAGUUAUCUGCUAAAGAUUAAACCAUAGAAUGUAUAUACGAUUGACAACUUGGUUCCACCUCCUGUCAUUAUACGGAUUUGAAGCCAAUAACUCUUGGUAUUUUCUUCACUUCCUGAAUCCUCCACCUGCGCAGUAACAUUGUACACAUUUGGCGGGAGAGUCGCUGUGAUGAUGCUCGGCUCAAACAGUGUAUCCUCCGAGGGAGCUACAUGAUCUUUGUACGCCAAUAGGCUGUAUCCGGUGUCAAUCAUAGAAAACUUAAACCCCCUAAUAACUUUUAAAAAUGUAGCUUCACAGAAAAAAGAGGACUUGAGCACAAACCAGUCUUACAGUAACUACAUGUCAAUAUUGCAACCGGGGAUGAGAAGAAUUUAUAUUCUGUGUAAUAAAUUUCUAAAGUUUGUCCACAGCUCCGUAGGGAUUGCUGGAGUUGACGGGAUUUAUGACCUAUACUGCAGCCCAUCACCAGAGGGUGCUGUUCUCAGAGUGGCUUCACCCAGCGAGGAGAAAGAUGGCGUUCAUUCUAUAUACAGUCUAUGGCUAAAACAUACAGGAUCUGUAUGAGCAUGUUCCAUAAGCGUCGCAUAUCACGCAGGAAAUAGGUUGCCAUUCUAAUCAACACAUCAUUGCACACAGGACGCUGUCAGCUAUCAACACGAGUAAACCUGCAAAAAAAAAGUUUCAAGUCAUGUUGCUGUUUCACAUAUCCUAGAGGCUCAACAGUCUCUGAAUUAUAUCCAAAUUAGCAGGAAAAAGACCACAGAAAGGCAAAACAACCUGUUGUGAACAUGCUGUUUCCUCUAUACUGAGCCCAGCUGACCAGGGCUGCACUACACUGCUGCUACGCUCCAAAUAUGCAUCCUGCGAUAGACAGCGCUGCUCGACGGUGCAGAUACGUGAUGCUGAUGGAACACGCUCCAUACAGAUCCUGUAUGUUUUAGUCUUUACUUUCCAGAACGAGUCAGACUAUAGCCUUAGUUCGUUUGAGAGAACAAACAUUAAACCAUCAUGAAGAAGCAUUUAUCAACAGUGGCAAGUAGAAAACAUUCUUUUAACUGGAAAAAACACAGAGUACAAUUAGACUAAUUGGUGAACUGUCAUUCAUCAAUGUCUUUAAAGGAUGAGAUAAUGGAAGAGAGAAAGAAGAGAGCAGAAACCCAUGAGUCUCUAUUGCAACCAAGCAGCAUACAGACGUGACAGUGAUAGAACCUGUCUGCCAACAUCCUGCGAAUCUGUCCAUGAGAGGAGGAAAGCAGGGACACAGAACGAUGCCAGGGCCCUGUCGAUUCACAUUAUCAUGACGAACAAACAAAAAUGGCAGCAUGUCUUCCUGCAGGGUUGAACCAAGACAGCCAUGUGUGAGCGGUACGGUUUGCCCGGCCUCUCCCUGCACAGUGGUGAAAUGUCUCUGUGGGGAGAGAUGUGAUUUCAUGCAGGAAUGUUGGACUUUUACCAAGAGCUAUAGAAGAUUAAAGCUGGAAAUUAUCCUGAGGAUUACCUUGUUGUUGAGUCAAAGCACUGUUUACUCUCAUGCCUGUGUUCCCCGUUAAGAUUUCCCUCCUCUAGCAUGUCUCAGAGUCUUUGCAUUCCAUCACUCUUUUCCAAAAUCCACCCUUUUUAUCAUUCUGAGCUUCACUGUUACUUCAUCGUGAUCUGCACGGAGAGAAACAACGGAGCCAGACUGACAGUUAUUGAUGGGCGGAGCGGAGACAGAAAAGACAGAGAGGAAGAGCCAGACACAGAGAGGGCCAAUCUGAGGAAUGGAGCCCGCAGUCUUUAUUAACGCUCGGCUGGAAUAUGAACAGCAUGUGUUAGAUCACUGUUAUCAAUGUGUGUAGCCAGAGGGGCUUGUGCUGAGCAAGCGCAGAUUGGUAGACAACAAGAAGCAGAGAGCCAGCGAGGAACAUCAGGGGGAUUAAUGAGGAUCCUGUUAUCAAUCUAGAAGAAUAACAGUCCACAGGAGCUAUACUGAUGUUGGAGCUAUUGGCAUUUCAGGGCCUGUAAAAGAUGUACACCACAUGCACAAUCGAUGGGAGGGCAGUGUUCUGGCUAGUGGUGGCAUUAAUUUCUCCUCCUCCAGUCGUUUUAAGUAAUAUGAUUAAAAAUAUAUAUUUCACCUGGAGCUGUCAAACCAAUUUUAUGUGACUUAAACCACUGGAUUACUGCGCUGUGUAGAUUUUUUUUACAAAUAGACAAAAUUAAAACAUAAAACCAUCCAGUUCAGCAAAGCUCUCUGUGACAUUAGGAACUUGAUUGCUUCAUAGCACUCUACUUAAAAAAAAAAAGAUGCAUUUAAAUGAAUCAGAUUGCAAUCAUUUUACUACAAAUCCCCCGUUUGAAACUGAACAAACUACUUUUUGUGACAUUUGUCCGUUGUGUGCUUUUGAAAAAGAUGAAUUAUGCAACAUUUACAUUUGCAGUGCCCAUUUCAACUUUAACAGAACACUUUGUUGACAUGCGUGACUGAGCUGCUGCAUCAGUGUGUCUGCAAUUUCAGAAUAAAACUCCAACAGGACAAAAAAAGAGCGACCAACAUUUUUCAACUAUUUUUUUUGGCACAUUGUGAGAUUGCUGAAUCAGCUUUUUUUUUUUUUUGUUUUACAUUCCACAAAACCCUGAAUUGUACUAUCAUAAUUAGUGUGUUGGGAGUUUUCUUGCUUUGGGCAAUUCUGUAUGUGAAUUUUGUAUAAAGCAGUGAGUGCUUUAUGUUUUCAUGAAACGACAUGCCUGUUGGCAGCAUUCACCAAGUUUAGUACAAACUUGGAUAGUUUACUGACCGUCUCAUACUGACAACUACCAGUAUUUUCAGACACAACUCAUGCACAUGUCUCCUGAUCUCCAAACACAUUCACUACAAAGUCAAGAGCCACGAAGGCUUCAUCACAUAUCCUUGACAUGUUUUUUCUUGAUUACUGACCCCUGUCUGAUUCGUUUUAGAAGAUUAGCUUUUUUUAAAUUUAUUAUUUUUUUUAGUUUGACAGCUUCUUAUGAUUGUCUAAUAAACGUAUGGUAACAAGAUUAGGCUUUCAAUUUAAUGCAUUACGAGGCCUCAUAAAAGUAACGCAGAUUAAUGUCAUUCUGGUGUCUAACAUCACAGCAUGUGUGUACGAUCUACAGGCUCACGCAGGCUGUAUAUGACAUGAACAUGCCCACAUCCAAACUCUACCAGCAUGAAAGAGCUGCAACCUUUCCAGCAUUAUGUAAAUCCUGUCUCAGCCUUGAAACUGCACAAAGCUCUGACAUUAUUUCUGACCAUGCUCUUCUCGGUCACUUUGAAAUAAUUUGUCAUUAACAACAAACCCUUACACACGUCUCAAGGGCCGUAUAAAAAUGAGCAGCAGCUGCUGUGAGGCAAACAGCUGCACACAGAGAGCAGGAAGUGUGUGUGUGUGUGUGUGUGUGUGUGUGUGUGUUUAGGAAACAACGCCUAAUAACCACCUAAGAACAGAUCAUUUCAACAAGUUUUCCUGCAAUUCAGUCGGAUUAAAAUGCAAUAAACUUCAACUCAAUAAUCAGAGAUCACAUUGUACUUAGUUUGAUUAUUCUUUAACUGUAUGACAGCACUAUCAUUAAACUCAUCCAACUCUUGUUAUGACACUAGCUAUAAAUGUUCAGUAUUGGUACUUAUGAAGUAUUUUAGCUCUAAUCAAUAUGAACAGUUUCUCAAGUACUGAUAUUGUCAAAAACAGCUCAAAGUUGAUUUAUGCUAGACUACAUACUAGACUACACUUUCUCAGUCUGAAACAGUUUAAAGAAAAACACGACUUGAAGAAAAAGAGACUUUAACGCCAAACUAGAGCUCGUCAAAACUGUACCGAGGGACCUCUCUGCAGUGGUUUAUACUAAACCUUCAAGAAGUCCCAGUGGCCUUAAAUUCCCUGAACAAUCCUCAACUGAGCAAUACAAAUAUAAAUGUUAUAUAAUAAAUGAGGUCUCCGCAGUGUCAGUGGGUUUGCAAAAUAGCAAAAAAGAGUUUUGCUCAAAGAAAAGUGCUUUCCUCUUUGGAGUCAAUAAAUCUUAAGUUUUUAUCAGUAAUGUUUUCUCUUUAAAAGGCAUGUCAAGGUGCUCAACAGAGCUCCUGUGAGGAGUUUCUGAAAGAAGGUUUUAGGAUUUUACCCCACAAAUAUCUAUUAUGUCUGACUUUUUAAAUCAAGCUGGAAGAUCAUUUUUGUUUGACACUUCUUAUAGUACAGGGACAAAAAUCUGUGUGAAGAUGAAAAGAUAAAAAAAGGCGAAAUUGACACUGACUCAGCAAACUUCACAGACGCUUUAGAGUUAUCAUAUUUCCAUGGUACAUGAUACAGCAAAUAAAAAUGCACCGAUGCACAACAGUGUUUUGAAUUAGGUUUAAUUCAUUAGAUACACAAUUCAUCAAACACACUGAUGAAAUACAGCAUUUCAGACAGCUCCUCAUUCAUAUAACAGUGUCUCUGCAUGAAGGAGGGCUGAGUCACCUUGACUCUUAAUAGCAGUAAUGCAGUUUUCUACCCAAAUUCAACCUUCCAUUUACUUACUAUUAUGUAUUGUUUUAAAGCUUUCAGCAUCAAUGUAAUCACGACUUUCUUCCUCUUUUGGUCCUUCCUAAUUAAGGCCAUCUUCCUGCCGCAGCUGUGUCAAGAGAUAACAUUGCUACUGUAACUUUUUAAAGACAGGCUGUACUCGUAAAAACGCUCAGACAGCUCAGCUGACGAGUCAAAUUUGCACCUUUUGUCAACAGAAGCACUUUGUGUUGGAGCUGACCACCUGUGGGCUAAGCAUACACGUGCAGCCGAUCAGUCGAUGUCAGCAGGAAAUCAUGAGAGUCAGCAGAGUGCUGUUUUUAAGGGAGCAAAAAAUGUUACCCCAUACCAGUGGAUAAAAUUCAAUCAAAGUGGUUAGUCAUACUAGAUGGGUGGUAAGUAGCCAGUCAACGUUAUUGAGAACUUCAGUCUAAGGGGGUUAGCAUGUAAAGAUCAGUCAUGCCUUACCAUCACGGGGGGACAAAUUUGUCACAUUUAUAAGACCUGUAUGAAACAGAGAGAGAACAAAACUGGGACUCCUAUAAAGUACAAAUGCCAGGAAUCACUGGGCUUCAGUGAGUAACUGCACAACAUACCAACUGUUAGUUUAAGAUUAAAUUAAACCAACUCUUUGAGGCUGUUGUCUGUCUUUUCAGUUUGCUUCAAAACGCAGGUGAAGAGAUGCAUGUAUUUGAAUAAUAAAUCUGAAAGUCAAGUUUAUUUAGAUAAUCUGAUUGCAUUAAAUUAAUCCUUAAAUCAAAACUCUGGCAGGAAAUUCUCAUAAUUGUUCAUACAGAUUUAAAGGACAAUAAUGGAAUUUUAGACAUGUGAUUAAAAUGGGAUAAGUUGUGAUUUGCUUUUAGAAUGAAUUUAUCAAGAUUUAAAGCAACUGGGAGACGAUUUUUUACAUUCUUGAAAUUCAUAUAAAUGCCUUUUUAUGAUCUCCAAAAGCAAACAAGACCAGGGGAUAUUUAUGGCAGCAUCAGAUAAAGAGACAGAGAAGAGGAGCAUUAACAAUACUUGUAGCGUCUUACCACUGUCCCUACAGAGCAGAGAGCUGUGCUGAAAUUUGUCUUCAUGGGUCUUUGGACUCAUCCCCCCGCUGCCCUCUCUCUUUUUGCUUCUCUUAAUGUUUCUGUUUGUUGAAUGACUCUUUAUUUUUCUCCCUCUGCACUUUUCUAAAACACUUACUGUCCCUCACAGUUAUUUUAAUUCUAUCACACUUCUGUAAUCACUGAGAUAAGCUUCUUCACCUAUAUUUCUUUCGCCUCCUCCUGUCCAACCUUUCCCCCUCGAUUCCUCUUGCCUUCGUCACCCACAGCCCUUCUGUCAAAUAAGGUCAUAUUGAGACGUACUGCGCCGGAGUCGGACACUGUCACCGUCUCCUUCCUGUCCAGACAGUGUUUAGAUUUAUGUUAAUUGCUGCCUGUCUAACUGCACACAAACACACACACACACUAAGCAGUUACCAGAGGUGUUGAGGGAAAUGUCACCAAAUGUGCGUAUUGAUUCGGCAGAAAGCAUCAGCUGUGAAUGACAUUUUCAUGAAUGAUCUGUAUCUCUCGGAAGCGACACAAAAUGAUCCUUUCUUUUAAAAAAAGCAAAAUAUGUUGAGGUGAAAUGAGAGGAGUGUGUCUGCUGAAAACACAACAGUGUGUGUCUGUGUGUGUUUGUGUGUGUUUGUGCUGUCUCAUGGGGUCACUAAUGCGACUGCCUGAGCUGCUCUGUGCCUCCGUUUCACAGAAGACAAGUGUUUACCCGGUGUUUACAACCUUUUCUCACCUUCACUUCUUUUCACUCAGUCUCACAGCUCUCUGUCCGUUUCUUUUCUUUCUCCCGGUCUCUCACUUUUUUUCACCACUAACGGAGCAGCUGUCAGCAUCGGUUCAGCGUGUGUUGUGAGUGUUCGGUGUCAGCUGUCACUUCCACUAAACUCACAAUACUCCACAUUCUGAUGGAGUGAUUCACACCAACCCCUUAGAGAUGCCUACGAUCAGCUGAUUGUAUCCUGUAAAUAUAAACACACUAGAACGAAGUGAUAAUGACGCCAAAAGCACUUCAACGCUGCCUUAUCUUAUAUCUUCCAGCUGACACACUUGUCUACAAGAAGACUUACGAGCAGCUUUUGUCUCUCCAGAGUUUUUUUAAACUCUGUCUCUUCCCAUUUUUUGUUAUUUUCUGUCAAUUUCUAUUUGCAAAUACAACCUCUUCUCCCCCACUUGGUGCCACACACAGGGAAAGUGGGAAAUGAUUGUAGUCCAGGCUGAGGCUGCUGUGAACACAAACAGUCUCUUUUCACACCGGCAGAUAGCAAGCAGAAAAGGAUGCUUUUCACAGAACUAAUCAUAUAGUUUGUCAGUCCAGUCCAGUUCAUUGUCCAAGUGAACACCCAGGUACUUGUAAGUAGGGAUAUCCUGAUACAACUUUUUUACUUCUGAUACGAUACUAAUAUUGUAGCCUUCAGUAUUGGCCGAUACUAAUAUUAAUCCGAUAUUGGCAAAAACUACAACAUCUUUUUUGGACUUAAACAAAAAAUACUCCCACACUCCUACUCCUUGCUACUUUGUUAGUGCCGUAGUACACACUGUUGUUGUGAGUACGCAGACUCUGCAUGCUAAAUCCCAGCGCUGCUAGAGAGAGGUGCUAGAGCAGAGUCUGGAAUGGACUGCUUGCAUUGGAGUGCUGGUAUUGGAGAUUUUAAAUGCAGGCUGGUAUAGUCUGAUAUUAGUUUUUUGCUGACAUCGGACCGAUAUCUGAGAUCAACAUCGGGAUACCCCUACUUGUAAGAGUCCACAAUCUCAAUGUCCUUUCCCUGAAUAUUCACCAGUGUGGAGGGGUGGGGAUGCACCUCCAGAAAUAUAUCUUGGUUUUUCCAGUUCUGACCUGGAGCAAGUUCCGUUUACACCAGUCCACAAAGUUCUGGUUCAGUUCUCUAUACGCCCUCACAUCAUCAUCGGCAAUGAGGCCAACAAUGGCGGAGUCGUCCAAGAACUACUGCAGCUGUCAGCUUGUCGUAUGGGGGUGAAGUCUGCAGAGUACAGAGUAAAAAAAAUGAGGGAGCCAAGACUGUUCCCUUGGGGCCCCCGUACUGCAGACAACAGUGUCAGACACACAGUCAUCAGCAGCCAGGGUGCGAGGUGGUGGUCCCGUCCUGUGCAGAGGCUGUAUGGUGUUGAAGACACUGGAGAAAUCAUAGAACAUGAUCCUCACACAGUCCUCUCCAGGUGAGAGAGAGAUCUCUGCGGGAGGUAAAUGACGGCAUUAUCCAUCCCAAUGCCUGGCUGAUGGGCGAACUGCAGUUGGUCCAUUGAUGAUCCCACCAGGGGGCGCAGAUGACAGAAGACCAACAUCUUCAUCGUCUUGAUCAGGUGUGAUGUGGCUGACUGUACAUUAAAAGUGUUGCAGUGAUUUUGAAGAAGGCCUUUGAUAUGUAAUGGAGGGAGGGACAUCGAAUCAGUGAUCAGGGGAUCAAAAUGAGAAUUUGUAACAUAACGUGGUUAUGAAACUAUUUGGCUUAUACACAGUCUUUUCUGGGAGCCCCUGUCUCUCCUCUGUCCAUCCCUGUCUGAAGUGCACUGAUCAAUACACUUUAGGCGGGCGGAGACAGAUGUCUUUCAGUCUUCAAGGACAUGAAGGAAAGAAAUGCUCUCAGUAUCAGGUUACUUCCUAGUUUUGGUUACAGGAACAGUAAAACAUUGACAAAGUUGGAGCACACACUCCAGAGAGAGUUUAAUUGAAUUUUGCCCUUGGCCUUACAAAGAUGUGAAAUCCAUUCAUAGUAUCGGGUCUUUUUUUUCACACAGAUGAGAGACAUUUGAUGCGAACACUUACUCAUAUUCAUUGCACAUUCAUAUCGAUUACAUCUAUGUUUUAAUGUAAGUUGAAAAGUUGUGACACACGGCAUUGUAUGAGGAUGGAGAAAGAGAAGAAAAUGAGUGUGAACAGUGAUUCUGUUGAGCUGCAUAACAAACAGUAACCUCACAAAAAGUUCAGCCCAAAAUGAGAAAAACAAGAUUUGCAGAUAGUGACAUUUUCAGGAGGACAUCUCAGGAAACAAAUAGUUCGAACUGAAGAGACAACAGCAUCCCACAAAAUAACAGACUUAACCAGAAAAAAAAUGGCAUCUUUUAGAAAAUUACAAGUUUCACAGCAGAGGUUCAGGAGCUUUCAGCAAAAUCUAUCAAAAAAAUCGGUGUCGCAGAUUGUGACUGACAAAUAUGAUGCUGCAGAGAGAAUGUUACAACACCUCUCUACCAUCCGAGGAACAAGAUUAUUUAAAAAAUAAAGAGGGUUUGACAGGUGCUAUCCUGCAGAUAAUGAUCAUGGGCCUUAAUAUAGAGGGCCAUGCCAGUCAUUGAAUAUCUGAAGGACAUGUUUCAUGUUCUCGUAUGAUUGAAAAAACCUUCCAAGUGUUAUAGUGUUGGCAAUAUUUGGACUGAGUUCAUUGUGGACAGAAGAAGUUAUAUAACAGGGAAUCAGGCAGCAAAUUACAUGGUGCCUGUCAGUGUGAUAUUAAAUUCCACAAAGACCUGCUUUAUGCUUCCAGUCAUGGGGACCUUGAGGUAGUGUUGUGUCGUUCAUAACGUUUUGUUCAAAAGAAUGGAACUGCUGAGUGAACGACAUGAACUGAAUCACUCCAAGACCUGAUUCGUUCCUUUUUCAGUUAGUUGAGCUCUGCUGCGAGCCUGGCAUGCCGGUCGGGAGUGGAACUGCCGCCUUUGACUCUUUGGCGAACGACACACAGCCAGCGAGAGAGCGGGCAGUGUGUCGUGAUUCACUCACAGCAAAUGAACGAUAUGUAUCAGUAUGUGAACUAAACAGUCAGUGAACAAAACAUCAGUCCGUGAACGACAUGUAUGAACGAACUUCCGACCGUGUCACCCACUUUUGUUCUGCACUGGCAGGACGGGGCUCCGAAGCACUGACUGAUUCAGUGAACGAAUCUUUUGAACGAAUCCUUUUAAUGAAAGGAUUCUAAAGAUUCAGUACAGUCAAAAGAACUGUUCUUUACAUCACUACCUUUAGGUCCACAUGAGGCUGCAAGGGAAGGUACAGAUGAAGCUGAUGUUGCCAGUGCUGUGACCCUGAUUGAUUGAUUGGUUGAUUGAUUGAUUGAUUGAUUGAUUGAUUGAUUUCAGCCAUCAUGUUUCAGUCCCACUCCGAUCUUUUUUUUUUCUUCCUACUUAAAGUGUUCUCAGUGGUCUUUAACAUGUGAUCAUGAAGUUUUUAGCCAAAAUUACAUUACCUGUAUCAUUUUCAAGGGCUUUUCUUCUGCAGAGCUCAGGUAGAAUAUUAGCAAUUCACCUCUAAGUCGUGGACAGCACUUCAGCUCUCAAACACUAAUAUCUUAAGUGACGUGAUGAAAGAUUAUAUCAUUAUUAGCUUUCUCACAAGCAUUGCAAUCCGCAAAUGCUCACUCUUGUUCCAUGAUUGUCCUCUCUAUUUGUCUGAGUCUGGCCUGCAGAGCGAGGCUCUGGGGGCGGAGCUUGGAUUUGUUAUGUAGGAAAUCUCACUGUGCCUGAACCUGCCAUUUGGGUCUGCAAGAGAUUUACAGCGAGUUGAAUGCAGAAAUAACCAGAAAUGUAAUUUCACACUUUUUUUUCUCAUGAGUAUUAACAUGUAGACAACAAGAAAAACAUGAUUUUGAUUCGAGUGGAUCUUUAAGAGCCCUGCUAUUAUGUUCUGAGCUGCUCGAUGGCCUUAAACCAUGCAGAGAAAAUAGUUUGUCACAUUCAAGGACUUUUCUGUACUUCAUUAAUGAGGUUUGGCUGAAAACAAAAAAAAACAAAAAGUAGAAAAUGGAUUUCUGAGGGUUAUUACAAGUAUUGGGAAAAAAGGGUUCACUUUGCAAAAAACACAGGGAAGUCGAGGAAAUAUUUACAGCAAUGUUGAGGUUAUUAUGCACAGAGGGGAAUAGAAAAAGGACACUUUGCAAUAAGAGAGUUAGAAUAAGCUUCUGCCUGACUGUCUGCCUCGUACUGUAGGUGAGCAUGUCAGACACUGAAUAUUAAAUUCAUAGAGCGGUGAUGACACAAAGUGUUGCCAUUUGAUCACGACACCUGAUGUAUUAACCUUAGGUUUAGCGCUCGAGUGCAAGAAGUUAGUGCAGCCUGUCGUAUCUGUUCAGACUAACACAGAGUGACAGCUGUCUCAUAUAAACCAGUCCUCUGCAGGUUAGAGGUACCUCACUUCAUCUGCAUAUUUUACAGUUUUGGAGCAAAUUUAUUACUGGGAAAAGGUUAAUAAUAAUUGGCUUGAGUUCCAAACACACACAUCUUUCCCCGAAACUGUAUUUGGUUAUCUACCCGUGAGUUCAGUUUAAUUUGAUACAUUUCUCCUGAAAUUUCUCGAUAAAAUCCGUCUGAGUUGUAAACCCCAGACCCCGCCAGACUUACGAUCCCCUUUUUAACUAUGUCGCUUGUUGUUGGCGAGAAGAGCAGGUGGCAUAAUUAUAAGGUUCAUGAACUUUAUGAACGUUUCUACGAAAGCAAGAUCACUGAAUGUAAAUGUGCGCUUUCGUGUUAUAUGGUGAGUGUUCGGCUUUACAGUCUCACAUAGAAUUUUACUCACAGCAUUAAUGUUGUUUUAAUGGAUCCCUAUAACUCUCUGGGCAUGCUCAGAAUGAAGCUUCACUGUAGACCUGUCAUACACUAAAAAAAAAGUCUGUGAGCCUCUUUAAAAGGUCCUCAAAUACAAUCAGCGAAAAGGCGCUGGUGUUGUAAGAAUGGCAUGAAUAUAACAGCUUGAUAUCUCGACAGGUCAGAGCAGCAAUAGGAAAGUUGAUACCAAACACACAUGUAUUCACACAAACACUUAACAUAUCAAAACUGUUGAGAAGCAGAUUCACUGAAGCAGGAAAUUGGCAGGAAUGUGAAGUUCUGAUAUGAUUUAUGAAAUGAAGCAGUGAAGCUCGUCGUUUGAUAUAAUCUAACAUGACAGCACCAUAUCUGAUCCAUUAAUCACACGACCACAUUGUUAGAUAUGCAGUUGUGCAUUUCCACAUAAAUAGUGUCUUAGCUGCUCUUCUUGUAUGCCGAGCUUUACAUCCAAACUUCAAAUAUCCCUUUAUUUGUCAGGAAUGGUUGAAUAAUUUCACUAAAUCUUUUCACUAUUACAAAUCUUUAGUCCUGCAGUUUCUGCACUAAUUGAUCUUUUGUGCUAAAAUGAAUGGGAGGGUAGAACAAGUCAUUGCACAAGUAUUUAAAAACUUGACCUCAAAGGUAGGGUUGGUAAUCUGAUUUAGAUACACUUUUUGUUACUAUGGUUAAAAUGAUCGUUAUGUUCCAAUGGCAAUCAAUACAUGAUGUGUUCUUAAAAAGAGUGAAAUAUAGCCGCUAUCCAUAGUAGGAGUAAAACUGGGAAAACACCAACCAGUCACAUUGUGUGGGUCCCACAUUUUUAAACCAAUCAAAUAUCGUGCUAGCUUCCUGGGCGUACCUAUCGCUGAUUCAAUGCACAUAGCUGAGCUGAAGGGGAGAAUGGCAGAGAAACUACCUAUACCCAGAUUAAUGGUGACCGCUCCUUCUGCAAGAAAGAGCAAGAAAAGAAAGAUGGAGGCAGAGACGGCCGAAGCAAGACAGAGUUUGAAAAAAGGGAAAAACUGAAAGUCAACAUCAGGACAGCUUAUCAGCGAUGGAGAGAACUAAAAGGUGAAGGGCUUUAAAGUGAUGCCAUAGUCACUUGUUUUCUGUACAUUGAGGGUUUGUUUCAGGGCAAUUUUUAAUCUUGACCAAGUAUUUAGCCAUAUUGCUAGUUAUGUGGUCAUCCUGAUGCUAACGUUGCCUUAUUUGUCCCUGCUGUGCAAAGACUUUCCAAUCUAGUCCCAAAGUUGUGAGUCUAUGGUUUUGAAUCAGCAGACAGCAGCGCUCGUGCAUGUGAGUGGGGGGGAAAUGUUUUGAAGGAGCUCCAAUGGGAGGGGGGAGGAACUAGACGAAGUCCUGAAGAGAUUAUACAUUCAAAUUCAUGUUUGUUUGCCGUGAUUACCAACCCUACCUUUAAGUUACAAACAGAGUCCAGGCAAACAAAACACCACAAGUGUAUGACCUGAGUCCAACCUUCCAGUUUGAGCAAUAAAUGUGCAUCUAUGAAUAUCUUUGCAGGAUGAAAAUGAAAGAUAAAAUGUUAAGAGUAAGGCUCUGGCCUGAAACCACACUUUAAAAAAAGGCUAAACCAGGCUUCAUCUGUGGAUUGGGGGCUGUUGCACAAAGUGUAAGUGGAUGCAAAUCCACUACACAAUCCCGUCUGAGGUCAGCGCACUGUGGCUUUCAAAGCCUCAGCUUAUAAGAUAUCACCGCCAUCUAUGUUUGUCUUUUCAGCUCAGAGAUUGAGAGGUGUUGGCCUUCGGAUUUUCCACUUUGUUGAGAAAGUGUGACUCGAAACUUAGAAACUGCUUAGACCGCGCUGUCCCUGAAACAGCGAGGGGAAAAGGCGGGAGAUGUGGAGUAAACAUCUUGUUCUGCUGAGUGUAGAGUUUUCAAAGUUUGGAUCAUUACACAAAUGACUGCAUUUCAAAUUAUCUUUGAGAAAAAUGUGGAUGUUUGCUUGUUACACAGCAGUAAUUUCAUCUAUUUUUCACUGCUGUUGAUUAACAAUCUGGCCCUGGAGAGCAGAUCUGAAACUUCUGAGCUGGUGGUCAAACUCUAAGGAUUGUUGGAGAUGUGAAUUGGAGGAGGACACAGUAAAACUCAAGUGUUUUAGUGUCACAAUGUCCCUUUCUCUGGGAAGAGAAACAGACAAGAUUUCUGCUCCAGUUUAGUAAAUUUGGGCCACAGAAAUAAGGAUACGAUCUUUCUGUGGAGCAGCUUACCUUUUCAAUUACCACACGGUUUAGAAACUCUGCUGCUCGCUAGAGGAAACGGCUGGAUAGAAAUGUGCAGUCAGCCUUAAAAAUCAUUGGCUCUGAGCUGACUAUCAUCUCUGGUCCCCUUGAGACCUGCUUUUAGUGUAAAGGAAACUCAGAGAUACUGGCAGAAAUACGGCAAGUGGGUGGGCUUACUUUCCCUUGGGGAAAGCGUCUGUGAAAAUACAGACUCUCAAUUUUAGAAUACAUUAACUAAAUAGGAAACCGCUGAACAUUUCCUUAAAUAUUAGAUCAGUGCCAAACAUCCAAAUAUCUGUAAAUGUCUCCUCUUAGGUAGAAAUUUAUUCCACAGGGUUGUGAACUGUUCUCAGUUUAGUUGCUUUCUCUCUUUAAUGGAGUUAAUGUUUCCUGUGAUGAUACCAGGUCACAGCACGCAUACCAAAAACCUUCCCUUAGAUCUUAGAUCCCUUAGAUCCAAGUUGCCGUGUCUAUGGCAACUUCAACACCUGUGUGCUUAGCUUGAAGGAGGUAGCUCAACUCACAAUACUUCUGUGAUACUUCAAUAUUACUUUGACAUGCCAACUGAGCUGUCUGGGAAUCAGGCCGUUCAAUAACAUGAUGAUGAUGAUGUUACUUUCUAUCAUACAGGCAUGAGUUGCAGUCUUGGUCUAACUUGUAGGAGACUGCUAUGUAGACAAUGUUUUUAUAAAAUGUAUAAUGGGUGUUUCUGUCACUAAGAAACCCAGGACUAAAACACAAACUUAAAGUCGUAAACUCCGCUUCAUCCGGGUCCGGGUCGCGGGGACAGCAGCUUCAGGAGGGAAGCCCAGACGGCCCUCACCCCAGCGUAUCGGGUAGUGACAACAGCAACACUGCCCCCAUGGUUUCUGGUGGUACUGCUCUGUUCGGCUUGUAUCCAUAAACCUUCAGGAUAUGUGCAGAAAUACAGACAAAAAAAAACACCAAGCCAUGGACAGGACCAUUUUCCUCCUUCUUACCCCUGUAGGGUCCUGGAAACUUGCUUAUUCAGCCUAAAAAUACUAAGUACAUUGGAUAAUGACUCCGACCAACCACUGGGGGUCCUUUCAUGCAAGAAUUUGGAGUAUUGGUGUCAUUGCUAUGAGGCAUUUAGUUCUUAUACAUUCAAUGUCAUGUGUCUGUGAGUUUCUGCCUUGAGCGACGGAGUUCAAAUACUGUAAACUGGGGUGAAGGUAAGAACAGGUGGUGAGGUGUUGUAUCAUUUUGUUGUGAAAGAGACUGGUCCGACCUGGACAGCAUAGCUAUCCAUAUUCUGAGUCAAUAUAAAUGUUCCAGCACUUACUAGUGGUCAAGAGCUUUGGACAGUGUCCAAAAAAUGAGAUCCCAGAUACUGGCAGGUGAAGUGUAUUGGCAGGGCUUAUUCACUGAGACACAGUGAAGAGCUCAACCAUCAAGACAGCGUUCGGGGAAAAAAAGCUUCUACUGUGAGCAGAAAGGAGCCAGCUGAAGUGUUACCACUUCAAUCCACCUUCCUGUUGGACCUGAGGAUAAAAUCUGAAUCAUGAAUGUUAAAAAAUUCGACUAGAUUUAUGUGGUUGAGUUCAGGAUGGCCUCAGACUGCAUCAGGAUCAGUCAAUCCAACCUCAAAUCUUUAUUUUUUUAUUUUGAUUUUUUUGCUUUAGGUCUAAACAUAUUAUUGUUGUAAAAGCAAAAUAAGAAAAUCAAACUUUAGCGAUAAAAACAAAGCAGAUGUGGCAUAGUAGGGAAAGAGUUUGGUUGCAUUGUCUCUUACUUUUUUUCCCUGAUUACUUUCCCUCUCAUGAGCCACUGAAGUGCAGGAAGCUGGCAUUCCUCAGCCGAGAAACUUUCCUCCUCACUCCUUCCUUCCAUCGACAGCUGAAUUCUAAUGUGCAAACUCUGGACUGGCAGACUGAGCCAUUGUUCGCUGUGAUUUUAUGUAUUCUGAUGUUGACUGGAGUGCUGAGAAUGGCCGCAUGAGUUCACAAGAGUGCAGCCGUGUGAGACUGCCUAAAGAAGAUAAAUGUGACAGUCUUUCCAUACAAUCUCCGCAACGGCCACAGCACUGCCCAAAAUGAGAUGAAGCAGAUAAUAAGCUAUACGUUUCCAAACCCACUUAUUCAGAAUCAGACUUGGGCAAGAGAUGAUUACAGGAAUUAAAACCAAGCAAAAUCUUUUGACUGUAAAUUUUCAGCAUACAAAACAAGUUACAGAAGAGCUCCUCAUAUUGGCCCUUAUAAAGAACAAAAAAAGAACAAAAAGAAAGAAAUUUCAGCUUUUCAGGUCAGUUUAGGGGGAAAAAAAGACAAUUUCUGAUACUAGAAAGAACAAUGGAAUAACUAUUCAGAUCUCUGAGCAGCCAUUAUGUAGAAAUCAUAACAAAUUAUACUGUUCACGUUGAAUUACUUUGAAAUACAAGCAGCAACACGAAUUUCUAAAUCAAAUGACUCAAUGAAAAUCAAGUUAAUCACCAAAAUAGCCAAUUUUAGGCUCAUUGUAUUAUUUAAUCUUACAAUGUCUCUCACAGCGUGCAGCUGAUUAAAUCGGAGCUCACUUAACUGUAAAAACUUUAUUUCUUCAUUUCCAGUAGGUAGCCUGCAAAUUUCCCCACAGAGACAGGAUAUUAUAAUUUAUCUCAUUUUGUUUCCUUGAUAUGGAUCUUAAAAAUAACUAAGUGUCUGACCAAGAAUCUCCUCAAAGUCCUAAAUGUAAAUUGCAAUAUUAGACAGUAAAUUUAUGUCUCCUUCUAUUCAGGUUUUAGUACUUCAUUACUUUACUUAUUAUGAAAUGUUAUUUAUUUAUUAAUUUUCUUGAAUUUAAACAUUUUAAACCUUUCAUGACUCAGUGUUUUGAAUGAUUUUAAUGAUUUUCUGCUUAUUUACUUUGUGUACAGUUCAUUGGAUGAAAAGCACAGCACAGAUAAAGUCUAAUUGAUUGGUACAGAACAUUUUAAAUAUCAAUAAAAAAAGUUGAUCUAAAAAUUUGAAUAUACUUCCAAAAGCUUUAAAAUAAUGAAUAAAAUUCAAAUGGAUUUGUAGACAAAGAUUGUUAGUAGGGUUAUGUAUCACAAUAUCAGAUUUUUUAGCUCAGGAUUAUUGUGACCAUAAAAUACCAUGGUAAAAAUAUUACCAUGAUAUUUAUGGAAAACUUGAAAUUUGAAGAAACACAGUAACAUUAAAAAGAGGCAAAGCAGGGGUGGGAAAAGCAUAAUAUACUGUAUAUGUACAUACAUUUUACACUUCCAUAGAUUUUACUAAAACACAGAUAACAUACAUGUCUUUAUCCAUUUCUAAUUAUGUUCAAAUAUGACUUAUCUACAUCACUGGCCAAGUAACUAUAACUUCUUCAGAAAAGACAUUCCUUUGAAAACAAUUGUUUGACUUGCUUUUUUAAAUUUUUUGUAGUUUUUGCCUUGUGUUUAAGUUGCUUUAUUUCCUACACUGUAUGCUUUUAUUUUGAAGUAUUGGAUACUUCCAGUAGAUCAUAAGUUGCAGAACUGAAUGAAAAUGGUAUAGACUAUCCAGAAAGUGUAAAUGUUCGAUUGAUCAGGAACACAAAGAGGCUCAAGCUGCUGCAUUGCAUUUGGAUUUAUGUAAAAAUUUAUGGAAUUUCUGUUUCGACACACAAUUUUUUAAAACAUCCUCCCUGAUUUGAAGGUCAUCACUCCUGCCCACUUGCUCACAGUGAAUUUUCCACAGUAUUUCAAAAUUUAUUUCGAGUUCAGAAAAUGUUGCAGAUGAAAUAUGGAUGAAAAUUUCAACAGCCGGCCAGCUCCAAACAUUGUGGGAAAUUUUCAGGAGUUUUGAGCAUGUUCGAAUUCAGUUCCUGGCCUUGUUCUUCCCACCUCUCUACAGCAAAGAGAGAAGAUCAUUAUUCUCCCAUACAGAAGCAAACCACCAUCAUGGGCAGAAUUAGCUUCUUACAGCUGCUCAAUAUUAACCCUACAUAAGAGGUUUUUCUCCUCUUAUAUUAAACUGUGAAAUUAAAGAAUGUAUUUUAAUGGGCAAAGAAUUGACAUUAUUACUGAAUAUAAUAUUUAUCCCAGCCAUGAGAUGAAACCUAAACAACAAGCUUCAUUAAAGGCCAAGACUCGGUCAACACAUUAGGCUGAUAAUGGAGAAUCAGCUGCUCUUUGAUCAGCUGGUUAUCAGUGCUGUGGGGAAGAGUGGGCACAGUCCAAUCAACAAACAAACACGCUUUGAUAUUUCAUCCCUUACUGCCUGUUUCUCCCAGGAACUACAGAUGGGAAUUACAGGAGUUAAAUUAGACAAUUCACAACACCGAGUGUAAAAAAGGCAAACACUUUCCUGAGACGUGUUUUUGUCUUGACACCGUGUUAAGUGUGAAUGUCAAGUUUUUGGAAGAUCUUUUUAUCUCUUUACAAGUGUUUGUUUUUGGUUUUAAAGUCAGAUCAGAGAUGAAGUGCCGCAAUUAAAACAGCCCAAAAAGAGCAAUGCUGAGUGAAAACAGUUGAACUCAGGCAUGAAGAGGUUUAAGAAAAUAUACUUAAAUAACUGAUGAUUUUUAGAGUUUGCUGUUACCAAAUUCACAUGUUAGUAACGCAGAACCCAUGGGAGAAACAGGGAACGGCAAGUGGAGCAUGUGGGACUUGGGUGGAUUUAAUUCAGUAUAUACGUACAGGUGCAGCUUAAAAAAAUGAGGGUGUCCAGGAAAAAGUUCUGGUUUCUAGAAUUUUUAAAAUGUCAUUCAAAAUGUGCAACUUCUAUAUAUACUAAAUUUAUCGCACCCAAAGUGUUAUAUUUUAAGACUUUUAAUUUGAAUCUGGAUUACAGCUCACAAAUAUAUAUAUAUAUAUAUAUAUAUAUAUAUAUAUAUAUAUAUAUAUCUCAAGUCAUCAAAAUACUGUGGGAAAAGUCAAUUUUCUUGUCACUUAUUUCAGUCCUGAAAAGAUCUUUAAUCUGCUGAAUAAAGGUGGACUGAGCCUUAUGGGCUACAAGUGCUGUGUUCUUGUUGUAAAAACACACCUGAACCAGAGACAUCCUCGUAAGUGUCUUACCUAGGACAAGAUUAAAAAGACCUGUACUAUUGCUCAGUGUUCCAAAGUCCUGUUUUGUGUUGAAGUCAUUUUUGUAUCUCAUUUGGAGUCAAAGUCUCAGAGUCUGGAGAAAGACUGGAAAGGCACAGAAUCCAAAGUGCUUCAAGUCCAGCAUGUUUCCACAGUCCGUGAUGAUUUGGAGUACCGUGUAAUCUGCAGCUGUUGGUUUACUGUGCUUUAUCAAGUCCAGACUUGAUGCAACUGAAAGUCUACCAAGAGAUCUUAGAGCAUCUGCCCAGAAACUAUAGGGAUCCAGACUUCCUUUUCCAGCAGGGCCUGGCACCUACCCACAGCGCCAAAACUCCCAGAAGCUGGUGUGCUUAUGAUGGUACUGGUCUGACCUGAACCCUUUAGAGGUUAUGCCAUUGAUGCAGAAAUUUGUAUAAAAGAGUCCUAAGCGAGUAGUGAGUGACUGAAUGAACAUAAAUUUCAAGAAUGGUUUAAAAAAUUCUUCCUUUGGAUCUGUGUUUUUUAAUGCUCUUAUGGUUUCAGUUGGUAGAUUUUUAAGCUAUAAGCAAUAAUAAUCAAGAUUCAAACAGUAAACAUCCUGAGAUACUUUGCUCUGUGUGAUGAAUGUACAAUAUAUGGAAGUUUCCUUUUUUAAUUAAGUUAAAGGGGAGAAAAAGGAAAUGAAAACAGCUCUAUGAUAUGUGACAUUUCCCUCUGUUCUGUAUCUGUUAUCAGAAAUCUCUCCUCUCAAAGCAAACCUCUCUGCUCUCCCAAUCCACCUUUCAUGUCAUGUUCUUAUCUUUCAUACUUGGCUGUCAUGGUAGCCAUGCUUAACAGUUUUAGUCAGCAUUUCAUAUCUGCAGGAUUGUCCUCUGAUCUGAUCAGUUUCCAACAUCCGGUCAGACUAUUCAUCCUCUGUUCCACAUGAGGAGAUUGAUUUGCUCUGCUGGGGAAACAUGGUCUUGGUGAGGCCAUGGUGGUGGGAUUUUCAGGGCCGGAGCUGCAGGGAAAUGUGAGAGCUGACUUGCAUGAAAACAAGAGCAACGAAGUUCAUGAUUUGGUUUGACUGAGAAAAGCACAACCCGUUAAGGUGAUGUCGAGUGCGUGUGUGUAUGUGAGUCUUCCUCUGUAAAUUAUAAAUUACUCGGCACUUGUACUUUGGGGGGGAAGGUGAGUUCUUAUUGAUUCUGCUGCAGCCUUCAGUUACUCUCUGCUAACCUCAGGCCUCACACCUCUGAUGGCCGCAGAGUUCAGCAUCAGGCGGAUGAAGACAGAAGUUUUGUGGUGUAUUUACUGCAACGGUUUGAAGGUUGAGGAUUGUCAGAAGCCUUCUCCUCUGAUCUUAAGAGAAAGAGCUCAAAUAGAUGAGGGGAGUGCAAAGUUUGGCUUCACCUUGAGACUCCUCCACAUCAAACAGAGCCAAGGGUGCUUUCUUUGUGUUUCACGCUUUCUCAGGCUCCCGAGGAGUGACCAUUCCUGUCCACUUUCUUUCUCUUUUCCUCUCAGACUAUCAUUCAGAGGAAGUAUUGUUUGGGAGUCUGGAAAAAAAUAAUCUAAAAAGAGGAGUGUGAUGAUGGGGAAAAGGUAAGAGGAGCAAUACUGUAAUUUUCUAAUCAUCAUUUUCAUGUGGCCUUGGCAAUGUUUUUAUUUCACAAUUACCUUGAUUGUUUAGUCGGUGAAAUUGCCCAUAAAAUUGCCCAACAUAAUUUUCCACACCCCAAGGGGAUGCCUUGAAAUCGAAUCGAACACUUCUAAAACCAGGUGUUUUAAUUUUACUGUAGAAUACAACAGACAAAAAGAGAAAAUUGUCACAUUUUUAGGGCUGGAAUUGGGCAUUUCUUGACUUCCUCUCUCACCUCUAAGCAGAAUCCUCCUGUAUCCUGACAAAGCCUCCGAGUCUGAACAGAGCUUCUUUGGAGAAAACGCUACUGAAGCUGCAGACAUGGAAGCCAGGAGGAGGUUAUGUUUUUAUCUUGACCACUUGAAAAGCACCCAUCACUUUUUUUUUUCUUCCUUUUUUAUUCUGGCACCCAAAAGAGCCGGCGAAACCAAAGGCGGCGCUGCCCCUGAGCCUGGAUUGGACCGGGCACACUCGACUCAACAGAACGGAGAGGUAUCAGAGAGGCUGUGGCUGCAGGAUCCCUUAUGAGCCGGUUACAUAAUGUGGACUAAAAGUCAGGAAAUUUCUCAUCGCGCCUGCAGGGAUCUAAAGCGUAUCGAACAAUUUGAACAAGUUUAGGUUCGUUAUUUUCUAAUCAAGCCUUCAUUUCCACUGAUUAGCAGAUUUCUGCAGAGUUAAGAGGCUAAAGAUAUGCUUGUCAGGAUCCAUCCUCUUGAGUGAUGCGGUGUGUGUGUGUGUGGGCGGGUUGUGUGUUUGUUCAUGUGAGUGUAUGGAGCAGGCAGCUAUGACUGUACCGUGCACAAGCGUACUGAGGCAUACUGUAUAAUCCCUCAAUAAAUGUUUGUGUAACUGACUGACGUCUCCCUCUGGCG